GAAAAAGGAAAAAAUAUAGUGAGACUUUGAUUCUUCGUCGCCGUAGUAAAUAGGAGAGAAAAUCGAAUUUCUUUCUUCGUCUUAAAAAAAAUAGGAGUUAAUUAACUGUGACACGUUCACUAAAAAAAAAUCCUUUUGUAGCAAAGCAUUUAUUAAGAAAAAUAGAGAAGCUUAAUACAAAGGCGGAAAAAGAAAUCAUAAUAACUUGGUCCCGGGCAUCUACUAUUAUACCCACAAUGAUUGGCCAUACUAUCGCUAUACAUAAUGGAAGGGAACACUUACCCGUUUAUAUAAUCGACCUUAUGGUAGGACAUAAAUUGGGAGAAUUUUCACCUACUAUAAAUUUUAGAGGACACGCGAAAAAUGAUAAUAGAUCUCGUCGUUAAUUAAAUGAAUUCAAAAAAAUGAAUAAUGAAUAUAAUUUUUUUUUUUAGUGAGAGGUAAACCUUAUGAUAAAGAAGAAAAAGAAGAAAUCAUAUACUUCCGUAUAUGCUUUAGGGCAAUAUAUAUCUAUGUCUGCCCACAAAGCACGGAGAGUUAUUGAUCAGAUCCGUGGACGUUCCUACGAAGAAGCACUUAUGAUAUUAGAACUUAUGCCGUAUCGAGGAUGUUAUCCCAUUUUUAAAUUAGUUUAUUCUGCAGCAGCAAAUGCUAGUCAUAAUAAGGGUUUCAAAGAAACCAAUUUAGUCAUUAGUAAAGCUGAAGUGAAUCAAGGAAAUACGGUGAAAAAAUUAAAACCUCGGGCACGAGGACGGAGUUACCCAAUAAAAAGAUCCACUUGUCAUAUAACUAUCGUAUUGGAAGAUAUAUCCUUAUAUCAACAAUAUGAAGAAUAUUUAAUGUAUUUAAAAAAACCUGGAUGCAGCAAUGAAAACAUAAAUCUAACAUGUUACGAUACAUAUAGUAGUGGAGGCCCAUGGGACAAAAAAUAAAUCCACUUGGUUUCAGACUUGGUACAACCCAAAGUCAUCAUUCUAUUUGGUUUGCACAACCAAAAAAGUAUUCUGAAGGUUUAGAAGAAGAUAAAAAAAUACGAGACUGUAUUAAAAAUUAUGUCCAAAAAAAUAUAAGAAUAUCCUCUGGUAUGGAGGGAAUUGCACGUAUCGAAAUUCAAAAAAGAAUCGAUCUCAUUCAGAUCAUAAUCUAUAUGGGAUUUCCUAAAUUAUUAAUUGAAGAUAAACCCCGAAGAAUCGAAGAAUUACAGAUGAAUGUUCAAAAAGAACUUAAUUGUGUCAAUAGAAAACUCAACAUUGCUAUUACCCGAAUUUCCAAUCCGUAUGGGCAUCCUAAUAUUCUUGCAGAAUUUAUAGCUGGCCAAUUAAAAAAUCGCGUUUCUUUUCGAAAAGCAAUGAAAAAAGCUAUUGAAUUAACUGAACAGGCGAAUACAAAAGGAAUUCAAGUACAAAUUGCAGGACGUAUCGACGGAAAAGAAAUUGCACGUGUUGAAUGGAUCAGAGAAGGCAGAGUUCCUUUACAAACAAUUGAAGCUAAAAUUGAUUAUUGUUCCUAUACAGUUCGAACUAUUUAUGGGGUUUUAGGAAUAAAAAUUUGGAUAUUCGUAGACGAAGAAUAAAAAAACUUUAUUUGUCUUUACAUUUUAUCCAAUGAUAAAAAACGAAAACUAUGUAGUAUAACACUAUAAAGAAAUAAAAAUAAAAACUUGUAGUCUUCUUUUUUAUGUUUAAGAAAAAAAAAUAAGCAAUUCUAUAAGGUUGAAUAAACAUUUCCAUCAAAACUCCUUUGAUAUAAUUGCUAUGCUUAGUGUGUGACUCGUUGGUUUAGGGUUAGAUUACGAUAAAAAAAAAAAAGAACUUACCAACUAAUAACUACAGCAUUAAUAAAUAACCUAAGCAACUCAUUGCUUCGCAUUAUCUGGAUCCAAAAAAUUAGUCAAGAUAUGAUAGGCUGAUCAUAUCAUUGGAGCAACUGACUAAAAAAAAAGAAUAAAGAAAGAUGAUUAUUAAGUUAUGAAAGGUAAUCAAAAAGUAUGCGGAUAAAUGGAAGGAUGAAAGAAAGAGCGAAAAAAUUGAAUAUUAAUGAUAUAUGAUUCCAAUUUGGAAAAUCUAUGAGGUCACUGUAAGAAAAGCAAUGUAAUAAAGCAUCAAUACAGAUUCAUUCAUAAUAAUUAGAUAAAUCUGUUCCGAAAACAAAAAAUUAAGAGCCUUGAGCCAAUAAAAACUGAGAAAAUUGCCUAAAAAAAAAAAAGAAAUUCAAAAUUUCAUGUAAAAGCUCCAUUGUAGAAUUCAGGCCUAAUGAUUAAUCAAGAAGCGAUGGGAACGACGGAACCCAUGAAUAUAUAGGAUUCUAGUGAACAAGAAAUCUUAGUAAUUCAUUGGACAGGAUGGCGGAAUAAACCAGAAACUUUAUUAUCUAUUCUGAUUUCUUAUUUUGAUUCUGAGACCUCGGGGGAUAAACAGCAAACUUAAAUAGAUAUUGAAAGAGUAAAUAUUCGCCGGCGAAAAAUUGGUUUUUUUUUUCAAAUAAAAACAGUAAUAAAAGAUGAAAAAAACAAUGAAAAAAAUAAAAUAAGGAUUUGUUAUAAUAUCCUAACUCUAAUAAAAAUUACAUUUGUAAUGAUGAUAUUACGUUAUUUUUAAAUAAAUCGAAAUAAAAUUGAUCUUUGAUUCUAUUUCAAAAAAGACAUACACAAAUUUAGAAGAGAUAAGAUGAAAUAAAAAAAAAUACCAUGAUUAAUAGGAUUAAUCAUUAACUACAUCUAUAUCUUAAUUAAUCCUUUUAUUCGCGAGGAGCUGGAUGAGAAGAAACUCUCACGUCCAGUUCUGCAGUAGAGAUGGUAGAAAAAACCCAUCAACUAUAACCCAAAAAGAACCAAAUUUCGUAAACAACAUCGAGGAAGACUAAAAGGAAUAUCCUCUCGUGGGAAUCGUAUUUGUUUUGGCAGAUAUGCUCUUCAAACACUUGAACCCGCUUGGAUUACAUCUAGACAAAUAGAAGCAGGGCGACGAGCAAUGACACGAAAUAUACGACGUGGUGGAAAAAUUUGGGUACGUAUAUUUCCAGACAAGCCAGUUACAGUAAGACCCGCGGAAACGCGUAUGGGUUCUGGGAAAGGAUCCCCAGAGUACUAGGUAGCUGUGGUUAAACCAGGUAAAAUCCUUUAUGAAAUGGGUGGUGUACCAGAAAAUAUAGCCAGAAAAGCUAUUUCAAUCGCGGCAUCAAAAAUGCCUAUAAAAACCCAAUUCAUUAUUUCUGAAUAGGAAUAUAGAAUGAAAAAGCUAAAUAACAUUUAAGGAUAAAAAGAUUAUAAGUUUUUUUUUGACAAACAAUAUUUUUUUUACUUCGUCCUUUGCACUAAAAGAAGAGAUACAAAAAUAUGAUUCAACCACAAACCUAUUUGAAUGUAGCAGACAACAGCGGGGCUCGAAAAUUGAUGUGUAUUCGAAUAAUAGGAGCUAGUAAUCGCCGCUAUGCUCAUAUUGGUGACGUUAUUGUUGCUGUAAUCAAGGAAGCAAUCCCAAAUACUACUCUAGAAAGAUCAGAAGUGGUCAGAGCUGUAAUUGUACGUACUUGUAAAGAACUCAAACGUAAGAAUGGGACGAUAAUACGAUAUGACGACAAUGCCGCAGUUGUCAUUGAUCAAGAAGGAAAUCCAAAAGGAACUCGCGUUUUUGGGGCGAUCCCACGGGAAUUGAGACAAUUAAACUUUACUAAAAUAGUUUCAUUAGCUCCUGAAGUAUUAUAAGACCUAAAUAUCGAUAGUUAAUAUAGGAUAGGAUUAAAAAUAUGGUAUUGAAAUCAAAUUAAUUAUAAUUAAUAGAUUGUGUAUCACGCAUAUACCCUUAAUAAUUUUAUAUAUUAAUAAUUGAAUUCAUAUAUUAAUAUAUAAUUCGUCUCUAUUUUUAUAUAAAUAAAAGAAAAAUAACAUGUUGAUUAUAUCAAAAUUAUAGAACAAUUAAGGAAUUUUAACUUAUCAUGGGGAAAGACACUAUUGCUGAUAUAAUAACCUCUAUACGAAAUGCUGACAUGAAUAGAAAAGGAACAGUUCGGAUAGGAUCGACUAACAUCACCGAAAGCAUUGUUAAAAUACUUUUACAAGAGGGUUUUAUCGAAAACGUAAGGAAACAUCGCGAAAACAAUCAAUAUUUUUUGAUUUUAACCCUAAGACAUAGACGAAAUAAGAAAGAAUCCUAUAAAACGAUUUUAAAUUUAAAGAGAAUAAGCCAACCGGGUCUACGAAUCUAUUCUAACUCUCAACGAAUUCCACAAAUUUUAGGCGGAGCACACGCAAUGGAGCCGUAGAAUACGACCCUAAUCGAAAUGCACACGCAAUGGAGCCGAUAAAAAAUUCUCGAAACAAUCAACCUCUUAUUUUAGUCUAACUAGGCGUUGUUUCCCGCCAUUUCAGAAGCGUCGCCGGCGUCUUUCCCGGUGAAAGUUCCCGCGCAAUCUGUACACUAUAUUCCCUUAACCUCCCAGUUCCCAUCACCACACUCUCUCACUUUCCCUCCUUCUCUCUCUCUCUCGUCUCUCCACCUUCCCUGUUCGCUUGUUCACUCUCCGCAUGGCGCCGUCUCGCCGUCAGAUCAGCGGAAGGUCUCCGCUGGUGAAUCCUCAGCGUCAAAUCACCUCCUUCUUCGGCAAAUCCGCUUCAUCUUCUUCUCCGUCUUCAUCGCCACUCUCCAAUCACAAAACCCCCAAAUCUAACCCUAACCCUAAUUCUCCGUCUCCGUCGCCACUCUCCAACACCAAAACCCCCAAAUCAAAACCUAACCCUAACUCUCCGUCUCCAUCGCCUCUCUCCAAUACCGCAACCCCCAAAUCUAACCCUAACCCUGAUUCUCCGCCACUCUCUAACAAUAAACUCCCCAAAUCGAAUCCUCCUGCACGUAGUCCAAGCCCCGGUCCGACGACUCCUUCUCCUGUACAUCCUAAGCUCAAGAAGCCACUUCUAGUCAUCGGACAGACUCCUUCGCCUCCGAAAUUUACGGAAACUACGUAUGGAGACGAGGUGGUGGGGAAGCAAGUUAGGGUUUACUGGCCGUUGGACAAGAAAUGGUAUGAAGGGAGCGUGACUUCGUACGAUAAGGGUGAAGGUAAGCAUAUGGUUGAGUAUGAAGACGGGGAAGAGGAGUCUUUGGAUUUAGGGAAGGAGAGGAUCGAAUGGGUGGUUGGGGAGAAAUCAGGAGCGAGGUUUAAGCGAUUGAGACGAGGCGCUGCUUCGGCUUUCAGAAGAGUUGUGACGGAUGAAGAUGAAGAUGAGGAGAUGGGUAAUGUGGAAGAAGAGAAAGAAGAUAAAAGUGAUGGUGAUGAUUCUAGUGAUGAGGACUGGGGAAAGAACGUGGGGAAGGAGGUGUGUGAGAGCGAAGAAGAUGAUGUGGAGUUGGAUGCUGAGGAUGAUACGAUGGAUGAAGAAGAGCUGGUGGAGGAGAAAGAUGAAGAAACUCCUUCCAUAGCUGACUCUAGAAAGCGGAAGAAGACUAGUGAAGUAGCGAAACCAGGUGGUGAGAAGAAAAGCAAGACUGAUAAAGAAACUACCUUUAAAGGUUUUAAGGCUUCUGUUGUGGAGCCUGUGAAGCAGACUGGAGAAGGUAAUUCGUAUAAUUUGCACUUUUUUUUGUUUGUGACACUUCAAAGUUUUAUCUGUUUAGCAGCUGAGAAUCAUGCAUGUGUUUCUUGCAUUUACUUUGGUUUAAGAUGGUGUCCUUUGUUGGUUGCUAAAUCUCAUCUUGUCUUACCGCAGCUGAUAGGGUGGUCAAGGGUUUGGAUGAUAACAUGUUGGAUGGGGAUGCUCUGGCUCGAUUUGGUGCGCGUGAAUCUGAGAAAUUUCGCUUCAUGGGAGUGUAAGUCUUUCACAAAUUUGGUCCAUCAUCAUAGAGGCUAUUUGAUACGGUGGGUAGGAGUAGAAAGAAUCUAGAAUAUGCACAAUUUUGGUCCAUCAUUAUAGAGGCUAUUUACUUAAGUUUAAUUUGUGUGUUUUAAACAACAAUUAUCAGGAACAUCUUCGCAUGAUCCCUGUUUUAGCUAAGUUUUAAUGGGUUUGUUCUUGUACAUCAUUUCUUGCAAGCAGAGACCGAAGAGAUGCAAAAAGGAGACGCCCUACGGAUGAGAAUUAUGAUCCGAGGACACUCUACCUUCCACCUGAUUUUGUAAAGAGAUUAACGGGAGGCCAGGUAAGAGCACAUGGAAAUCUGCUUCAUGAUAUUUGAUGAAGCUAUUCAAAUUUUACUCAUUUGAUUUUGCGGCUUCUUUUUCAGAGACAAUGGUGGGAGUUUAAAUCAAAACAUAUGGACAAAGUUAUUUUCUUCAAGGUAGACCAAGAAGUGAUCAAUUAAUCAGAACUUAUUUAUUAGUGGGAGAUAUGGAGAUUAAAUGGUUUUCGUUUGAUGACAAGCAGAUGGGUAAAUUCUAUGAGCUUUAUGAGAUGGAUGCGCACGUUGGGGCCAAGGAACUUGAUUUACGGUACAUGAAGGUAACUGAUUUUUUAUAGCUCAUUAUUGUUGGUGCUUUUCGAUGCAUCUUUUAAAAUUCUAUAAAAUGACAACGGAUUGAUAUCAAAUCAUGCUAAAAAGGUCACUAUGUAUUUACCAUUUGCCCUCUCUAUAUAAUUUUUUUUUUAAAGCACCUGAUGUAGAUUUUUGUUUGUAGGGAGAACAACCUCAUUGUGGAUUUCCUGAGAAGAACUUUUCUGUAAACAUCGAGAAAUUAGUUCAAAAGGUUUGUUUCCUGAAACAUAGCAAUCCAAUCUAAGUAUGAUUUUUUUUGUGUGGGAAAAAGUCACAUUCAUGGGCAGAAGUUAUACUGUUGGAUAGAAAAAAGUUUGAUUGAAUUGAAUGGAUCAGGGCUUUCGGGUUUUAGUCGUGGAGCAAACAGAAACACCUGAUCAGCUGGAGCGACGCCGAAAAGAGAAAGGCUCCAAGGAUAAAGUAAGUCCCACUAUGAAUUUUGUUAUAGUAGGCAUCAUCACUUUUUAGCCAAUCAAUUUGAUUGCUAGUGAAAUUGAAAUCCAUUUACUACGGCUGGUGCUAUUUUUAGAAAACUAUGAUAGGGAGGAUUCCUAGUGACAUUACUCCUGUUUUUGUAGGUUGUGAAGCGUGAAAUAUGUGCAGUUGUUACAAGAGGCACGCUUACAGAUGGGGAGAUGGUAUUAACUAAUCCAGAUGCAUCUUAUCUGAUGGCGUUGACUGAAGGAGGAGAGAGUUUAACUGACGAGAAAGCAGAGCACAAUUUUGGUGUAUGUUUGGUUGAUGUUGCAACAAAGAAGAUAAUCCUGGGGCAGGUGGGUUCUUUACUUGAAUUGAUUGAAAGAAAAGCGAUGCAUGUUUAGCAUAUGUAUGCAUGUUUAGCAUAUGUACCAUUUCUCGAACAUCUCUCUUAGUAACCGUGUCUCUGGAUAUUUUCGGCUUUUGAAUAUUCUAUCCUAAUUGAUGGCAUUUUUUUCAUUUUGUACCAGUUCAAGGAUGAUCAAGAUUGCAGUGCAUUGUCUUGCGUGCUCUCUGAGAUAAGGCCGGUGGAAAUUAUUAAACCAGCUAAUAUGUUGAGUUCUGCAACAGAGAGAACAAUAGUUAGAUACACCAGAAAUCCCUUGGUAAACAAUCUGGUUCCACUUUCUGAGUUCUGGGAUGCGGAGAAGACCAUACAUGAAGUUGGAACUUUCUACAAAGGAAUCAGAUGUGAACCGUCUUCUGCUUAUUCCGGUGAGGAAAAGAUUCUAGGGGAUCCAUCCCUUAAUGAAAGUGGUUCAAGCUUCCUUCCAAAAAUGUUGUCUGAAUUAGCAUCUGGAGAUAAGAAUGGUAGCCUGGCACUCUCUGCUCUUGGUGGUGCCAUUUACUACCUGAGACAAGCUUUCUUGGAUGAGAGUCUACUUAGAUAUGCCAAGUUUGAAUCCCUGCCAUACUCUGAUUUCAGCAACUUUACUGAGAAACAGCACAUGGUUCUUGAUGCUGCUGCUCUUGAAAACCUUGAGAUAUUUGAAAACAGCAGAAAUGGAGGCGUUUCGGGGUAAAGUAUCUCAGCCUUGCUACAUAUUAUCAAACGUAACUGAUCUGUUCCAAAACUAAAAGUGAGUGUUGUCUUUUGAAGGACGCUGUAUGCACAAUUGAAUCAAUGUAUCACUGCGUCUGGGAAACGGUUGCUGAAAACAUGGCUGGCAAGACCUUUAUAUAAUCCAGAACUGAUUAAGGAACGCCAAGAUGCUGUAGCAAUUCUUCGGGUGAGUCUUUAAAUUAUUGCUUGACUUUAUAUGCUGCUGAUGUGUGGGGUAUGUGUUACAAGCAAUGGCAUCUAUUUUCUGGAAAUAAAUUCCUUAAUAUUACGAAGCUUACUCUGCAUGCAGCGUUAGGACUCUCAUUUAUGCUAUUCCUCUGACAACUCUAUGUAUUAUGGUACUGUCUCUACUUUCAGGGGGAAAAUCUCCCAUACUCGCUGGAAUUCCGGAAGGCGCUGUCAAGACUUCCAGACAUGGAGCGGUUGAUUGCACGUAUCUUUUCUAGCAUGUAAGUGAUUAGCUGGAUUGAGAUGUCAUUUCUUGCAUUUCAUGUUUAUAUCAGUGAUCUACUGAACAAUUUUGUUAAAAUAAAAAUCUAUGUGUUACAUGGUACAGUGAAGCUAGUGGAAGAAAUGGAGAUAAAGUGGUUCUAUAUGAGGAUGUAGCAAAGAAGCAGCUACAAGAGUUCAUAUCAACUCUACGUGGUUGUGAAACAAUGGUAGAAGCAUGCUCGUCCCUUCGUACUAGUUUGACGCAUGAUAAAUCCAGACGCCUGCGUCAUUUGCUUACUCCUGGUAUCAUCAAUACUCUCCAUAUUCACAUUCUUAGACUGAUAACUCCACAGCGUCUUAUAUACUUUUUAUGCCAGGUCAAAGUCUUCCAAACAUAUCACCCUUCAUUAAGUAUUUCAAGGAUGCUUUUGACUGGGUAGAAGCUCACGAUUCUGGACGUGUAGUACCUCAUGAAGGAGCUGAUGAAGAAUACGAUUUUACCUGCAAAACGGUAAAAGAAUUGGAAGUCAGUUUGACGAAACAUCUGAAGGAGCAACGAAAAUUACUCGGAGAUGCAUCGGUGAGAACUACUUCCAUAUAUGUUUUUUGCCCCUUAAAUGCCUAAUCAACUGGGGAUGCUGAUCAGAGCUUUGUUCAUUUUGUCCAGAUAAAGUAUGUUACAGUUGGGAAAGACGAAUAUCUCUUGGAAGUUCCUGAAAGUUUAAGUGGGAGUAUUCCUCAGGAUUAUGAAUUAUGCUCAUCCAAAAAGGUAAACAAAAUUGCUGAUGUAUCCACACUAUAAAGAGAGCUUGAUUUAGUCAAAUGGGAUUUUCCAACUGUUUACAUCCAUCUUUUCAGGGUGUCUUUCGAUAUUGGACUCCUACCAUCAAGAAAUUAUUAAAAGAGCUAGCACAAGCGAAAUCUGAAAAAGAGUCGGCUCUAAAGAGCAUUUCGCAAAGAUUGAUUGGACGUUUCUGCGAGCAUCAAGAAGAAUGGAGACAACUGGUUUCUGCAACAGCUGGUAUGGACAAAUUCAUGUUUUAUAAUUUUUUUAUUUAAAUUCCAACUUAAGUUUGUCUUUUCUUUUAAGAAGUGAUAGUAUCUUCCUCAAGAAAAUGAUUUUUUCCUCGUGGGUGUUAGCUCUGUGGGUGAUGGUUUUGAGCCUUUCGUUUUGAGCAUUUGUUGAGCCAGUUAGAAUUAAAUCGAUUCCACGAUUAAUAAAUUGAGUUCCCUGCAAUAUGUUGUUGUGAAAUAGAACCUGCUGCUGCAGGUUAGAUCUUUCUAUUUGAGUUGCAUCUUAUCAGCAAGAGAUUACUUGGGUAGAACAUAGUUUAAUGGAAUUAGGCAUGGAAACAAAGUGUGCGCUUAGAUCUUACUAUGGAUGCGUUGUUGACAUGAAUCCAUUCGAUUGCAGAGCUAGACGUGUUGAUCAGCCUCGCUUUUGCAAGUGAUUCUUACGAAGGAGUAAGAUGCCGUCCAGUAAUAUCAAGUUCUAAAUCUGUUGAUGUUCCGCACUUGUCAGCCACUGGUCUAGGGCAUCCAGUUCUGAGGGGUGAUUCAUUAGGCAGAGGCUCUUUUGUACCAAAUGAUGUAAAGAUUGGUGGGUCUAAGCAGGCCAGCUUCAUCCUCCUCACAGGCCCUAAUAUGGGUGGAAAAUCAACCCUUCUUCGCCAAGUUUGCUUGGCUGUGAUCUUGGCUCAGGUAACUCCAUCAUUUUUUAAAUAAUUUGAAGGCUAAUGGACCUUGACUCAUUUAAUGUUUGAUGAAAAUGACUUCAAGCAAUGACGAUUUUUUUCACAGAUUGGAGCAGAUGUCCCAGCAGAAACCUUUGAGCUUUCGCCUGUUGACAGAAUAUUUGUCCGGAUGGGUGCAAAAGAUCAUAUUAUGGCAGGACAAAGCACGUUUUUAACAGAACUAUCAGAAACUGCUGUAAUGCUGGUAAGUAAUGUUCAUACUGUUUGUCAACUUCGGUUACAAGAAGCUUUCAUCAGAUUAAUUUGAUACUUACCACUGUUUUUGAUUAUUUUGAGUUCUGCUCACAUGUAUUGUUAAACUAUGAUAAAUACCAACAAGAACAUUGAUAUAAGGUUAUAAUGUCAUAAUAUAUGCAGUCAUCAGCAACUCGAAACUCUCUGGUGGUGCUAGAUGAGCUUGGACGAGGAACAGCCACAUCAGAUGGACAAGCCAUUGCGUAUGUUGAACCAUUACUUGCGUAUCUUGUUUCUGAGACAUACUGCUAGUGUUCUGUUCACUUUAAUCUAAAAUUUUAUCUUUUAAUUUUUGUUACAGGGAAUCCGUACUUGAGCACUUUAUAGACAAAGUGCAGUGUAGAGGAAUGUUCUCUACUCAUUAUCAUCGUCUCUCUAUGGAUUAUCAAACCAAUCCACAGGUAUUGUGGAAAGUGUCUGGUUCAGAUAGUGAUCAAUAUGAUUAUGCGUUUAGAAGACUUGUUGUGACAAUCAAUCAUCUGAUUCUGAUUGUUUUUAUUGUGUACAUUCUGAAACUUUGGAUAAUAGGUAUCGCUUUGCCAUAUGGGAUGUCAAGUGGGAGAAGGAAGUGGUGGAGUGGAAGAAGUUACAUUUCUCUACAGAUUGACGCCUGGUGCAUGUCCUAAAAGCUAUGGAGUUAACGUUGCUCGCUUAGCUGGUAAAAUAACCUCCCCUCAGAACUUUUCAUUUGAAACAAAAGCAUUCAGUGAUCAUUGUUCUUUUCUCUCCACAGGUCUUCCAGAUGAUGUACUUCAGAGAGCCGUGAUAAAAUCCCAAGAGUUCGAAGGCUUAUAUGGUAAAAACCAUAAAAAGGCUGAUCGUAAAAUGGCAGAAAUGAUAAAGCGGAUCAUCAGUGGUGUUGCAUCAGAUUCUGAUACUGCAACUUCAAAGCACUUGCUGUCUGAGCUACACUACAAGGCUAACACUUAUCUCCGGCUAAACAAUUGAUUUAGAUGCUCUACGCCUUUAGGAUUUGCUGUUCAGUUUGUAAGCAUUAACCAAAGCUCGAUCAAUGAGAUUUCUCAUGUCACAAAACUAAAAGCUUUGAGUAUAUACACUUUGGGGUUGGGGUUUCAUCUCCGUUCGUGAAGUUUUUUGGGGGUUUCAGACUCUUUGUAGUAGGUAGGAUCGGUCAAUUUUGUGUAUAUAAUGAUGAAAGUUCUCACAGAUUCUGCUUGAACAAACUUUUAUUUGGUUUAACUGAAAGUCCAUUAAAACAACAAUCAUCUUUACAAUACUAACCAAUGAAUCCACGGAAUAUAUCUCCUAACAUCCAAAGAGACUUUGUUGAAGGCCAUCAUUUGAAAGGCCAAACCAUUUUCUGGAUGAGGAACAUUAUACAUAGCACCUACAUACAUGCAUUGCAACUGGACAAAGAAACAACACAUGAUUACUGCUUCAUCUUCACAGCCACAAACUUGGUAUUUACUAUCAACUUUCAUACAUUUUUUAUGAUCACAUCUGCUACUGGAAUUGCACCACUUAAUAAUUUCCACAGAAAAAAAAACUUAUUUUAUUUGGUGCUUAAACCCUCCAUACAUGUUCUUUCAACUGUUUGAUCGAAGGAAUCAUUGCUGCUUCACGAAGCUGGUCUCCUUUAAACAACUGAGUCGCCAACCAGUAAUCUAACUUAACAGAAUAAUCACACCAUUGUGGUUUGUUUCAAAAAAGAUAAAAGAUAAAAAUCACCAUUGUGGUUAUGCCUCUAAACUGAAAAAUCAUCUUCAUGUACUAUUGGAUGGAUCUUUAGAAUGAGCAGAACAUCACAACGAUAAAAGGUUAUUAAUGUCCCACCGUUUGGAAGUUUGAUCAGUUAACUCAGCAACCUUUAAAUUAAGAUCAACUAGAAUAUUCUUCAUCAAAGGCGCUAUCAAUCUAUCAUCACAUAAAGCAAAAAUCCAGAUAUUCAAAGAUUUGUCAUUCCCUGUUAACUGUCUAAGACCAUGAACAAGUACUCCCUUCCAAACAAAAUGCAACACCAAGCAAAGGAUGGUCUAACUUCUAACUCAGCAGCCAUAAAACUAUGAUCAUCAUAGUAUCAAUCAUGAACCUGAAAACGUUUCAUGUUUGUUUUGUUUUGCUUUAUAACAAAAUUCACAAUUGUAUCUUUUAUAAUAUUUUGAAAAUUUUAGUUGAUACGAUUGAAAAUGAGAUUUAUAAAUACAUAAAUACAUUUUCAGUAUUUCUUAAAUAGAAUAUUUUCCUUUUUAUUUAACUAUUAAGAUGAAUAUAAUUAUUAAAAAAAAUAGUAACUAAAAUCAUGAUAAAUUUCCUAAUAUAAAUAUGAUAAGGUUUUAAUAUUAUAAUAUUAUUAGUUAAGAUUUAGCACACAGUAUAAUGUCAAUAGAAAAAGGUAAAAAAAAAAAAUUAAUUUGAUGAAACUGAAAAAAAAAAAUCAAAACAACUCUUAACUUCAAACCAAAUAAUAAUUAUUAAAAUAUAUAUUUUAUAUUCUCAAUAAAAUAAAUUAUCAAUAUAUUAUUAAUUAUAUAUCUAGUAUACAUAUAAACAUAUUACUAUAUACUUUUAUAUUUUAGUUAAUCAGUUUAUUUGGUUUGAUCAUUUUAUAAGCAAACUAUAUUUGCCGUUGGUAAAAAAAAAAAUACAUAUGGUACUAUAUAAUAUUACCAAAAUUAAAUUAAUUAUUUCGGUUAGAUUCAGUAACACUCCUAAUUAAACAAUCCAUAUUUUACAUGGAUCCGAAAAGAUGAUUUUACUUUUCGACUAAAAGGCCCAAACGUUUAUGGGAUGGGACCUUGCGUGUAUAGGAUUAAUAAAGCCACACUCUGGUUCGGCACCAACGUGGGUACGUUUGUGAUCUCUGAAUCCGCAAUGCUUGCCGUUUUCAUGUUUCACCUUGGCUUCUUUCGUCUUUACUCGACCUCGAAGCUAAAUUAGAAUCUCUCAAGAUCUCGCUGGCGAUUGAGGUGUGUGGUUGGGAGGAUCGAGUGAGUGAAUCAUGUUCGUGAUAGAUUGGUUCUAUGGCGUUCUCGCUUCGCUAGGGUUAUGGCAGAAGGAGGCUAAGAUCUUGUUCCUCGGGCUCGAUAACGCCGGCAAAACCACCUUGCUUCACAUGUUGAAAGACGAGGUUCGAUCUCUCGAUCUCGAUCUCUUCUAAUUAAUCCGAUCCUGUUUCGGGAUUGCUCGAUUAGAUUCGAUUUGAUCUUAGAUUCGAACUUCCAUGACCUAAUAGAUCUUCAAUUUUGCUUGAUGCGUUGUUUUAGUGAUAGAGAAGUUUCUCUAAGUUUGUGACUUUGAUUUAGGAACCUUUGUUUGCUUACUGCUUUGAGUCCUUUGUUAGCUCAGUCCAGAUUCAAUUACUAUGUGAUUUUGAAUUUUGGUGAAACAGAGAUUGGUGCAGCACCAGCCGACGCAGCAUCCAACAUCUGAAGAACUUAGCAUUGGUAAAAUCAAGUUCAAGGCUUUUGAUUUGGGUGGUCAUCAGAUUGCUCGCAGGGUCUGGAAGGAUUACUACGCUAAGGUGAGCAUUAUCUUUUUACUGCCCAUUUACCAUAUAGGCAAAUUCAUCAUGUUUUAUAAUUUUUCACUCUAGCGUAAUUUCCACUUAUCCUUGUCGAAGAUUGGCUAUUAAGCUUUUUUCAAUAUGCACUAGGUAGAAUCAGAAUCUGUAUCUCCAUAUAUUCAUGAACCAUUAAUAUGCUGCAUAUCAUCUUUUCUUUUUUCUUUUUUUUUUUUUUUUUAGAGCUUUUAUGAACCAAGAGUACUCAAGCCAUCUUUAGAUUUUUACUUCUGUGUAUUCGUCUGCUCACUCUUCACCUAAUCACUGCCCCUCGUAAGAGAUCGAUGUUGCACACUUCUUCCCAGUGAAAGCUUGGUUUGUAGUUUUGCUCAUGUUAUGUAAUUCAUCGCAUCAUGUAGUUAACCUAGUCGAAGAUUGAUUAUAAAGCUCUUUUGAUAAGCAUAGUAGAAUCAGAAUCUGUAACUCCAAAUGUUUCUUCGACCUAUUCAAGCUAGGCAGAGUUUUAUGAACCACUAGUUUCGAUGAUGUACUCUUGUUUUUUUCUUUCGCAGGUGGAUGCUGUGGUCUACCUAGUGGAUGCUUACGACAAGGAGAGAUUUGCUGAGUCGAAAAAGGAGCUGGACGCACUUCUCUCAGACGAAUCUCUAGCCACCGUUCCCUUCCUCAUCCUAGGAAACAAGAUUGACAUACCAUACGCUGCAUCAGAGGACGAGCUCCGUUACCAUCUCGGCCUCUCCAACUUCACCACGGGAAAGGGUAAAGUGAAUCUAGUGGACUCGAACUUAAGACCAUUGGAAGUUUUCAUGUGCAGCAUCGUCAGGAAGAUGGGUUAUGGCGAAGGCUUCAAAUGGCUCUCUCAGUACAUCAAGUAAACUAAAGCCAAGACUCCAACAACCUCAUGGUGUUGUUAUGGCUAAAUCGUAAGUUUCUAUAUUGUCUCGUCUUGCUUUUUUUAAUGUUUUGUAAGAAAUGUCGUGAAACUUAGCUUCUCGUUUGCCUGGUUUGUUUCUAUUUGUAGUGAUUUUUUUUAAUAACAUUUACAUGUUUCGUAAUUUAUACUACUAUUUAAAUAAGGUAAAAUGUUUGGAUUUUAACGUUUAUUAUAUACUAUUUAGUUUGUAUAUAUGAAUGAACAAUCGAUAAAGUAAAGGAUGGAACCGUUUAACGAACUCAAUACAAUACAAACCAAACCAUUUCAUGUGUGUAUAUAUUCACACAUAUACUUGGGAUCAUUCUGAUCUGAGAAUGGGUAACGCUAUCGGUUCUUUGAAGUUGGAAUCGUCGGUGAUGACUUCCACUACUCAACAACUGUAUUAUCCGAGGGAAAAGUACAAAACUUGGAGGAAGAAAGGAGUGCAGCUGAGAUCAUGACUAGAGCAAAGAAUCAAUAAAAGAAAUUUUAAAGUAUCAAAUCAGUAAAAGGAUAAAGUCUGUAUGGCAUGUUCAAACAUCGUAAAUACAACCAAAUUUAAGCAAAAAAAAAAAAAAAAACAUCGUAAAUACAAGUAUGUAAGAGAUUUUUUUCUUCUUAUACUUUCAUAAGAUCGUAGAAGACACCUGUAUAUAUGACAAAUAAGUGUCGCCGAAAUUUUGGUAUAUGAUUAAAACAUUUUUUUGUUAAAAACAGUAUAUGUAAUCUAUAAAAUGAAUUUUUAAAUGACGUUUCUGUCAACUAAAUUUAAAUGCCUUUAAUGGAAUUUGUCCAAAUAAUCUGUCAACCAAAUGGAUACUUAUGCUAAAUCCAGAAACAGAAACAAAAUUGACAUUAAGCACAUCACCUCCAUUUUCUGAUUCAAAGUUGCUACUGCAAACAAAAUAUUAUAUGUGUCAAUAUAUGACAAUCGUAUGAAAAAAUAUUUCAUCUGUUACUAUAAUAUAAAGUUAACUACUUGUAAAUUUAAGUUCAUAAAAAAAAUUCAAGAAAAUCCUUGGAAACAAAAGUGUUUGCAUGUGACAUGUGAAAAGCUCUUCUUCAUGCACGUGUCCUCCCUCUUGAGCAACUUUUUCUUAUCUUGUUUUGCUACAACAUGACGUCAUAUCAGCUGAUGGUCUCGGGAUAUGAUUGGUUCUUUUGACCAAAAUAUGAUUGGUCAUGUUGCAAAUCUUAUGCUAAACAUAACAUUAUUUUUUUUGAGCAACUUCUAAAUAUAACAUUAAUAAAUUCCCAUAGUUGGUGAUAAAUCAGAGUUCAUUCUCCGCCAAAAUAUGAAAUAUUAGUAUUUGUAGCAAAUGUGUAUAUAUAUAUAAGCGAGUGCCCUUGACAUAUUUUAUUUUCUUAUCAGUUUUAUUUAACGGAUUUCAAAACACAAAAUUAUCAAUACGAAUUUUUUGAAAACAAUUUUUUUACAUUAAGUCUUUUCUCAAAACAAAACAAAAAAUACUUAAAGCAAAAAAUAUGUGUCAUAUACUCACGAUGAUAAUAUAAAAAGUGAAGUAACAUAAUAUUAAAUUUAUUCUAACGAAAUUUUACUUGUUAACAACAUUUUAAAUUCAGUAUUUUGUCUUUUCAUAAUCGUUUUUAUACUCUACUACAGAUUUAUGUGUACCUAUAGCUUCCAUGUUUUUCCAGAAAAGUCUCCCUUAUAUCUUUUUUUUUGUCAACUUCGGGCCACAACGGGCCGGCCCGUUAGCCCAUUAACCCCAAGAAGGGGAGGCUCCUUCCAUUGGAGCAGAGGAGAGAUUGAACCCUUGAUGCCAAGGUGAACUUUGUCGCAAGGCAUGGCCACUGGGCCAUGAUCAUCUCGGCAGUCCCCCUUAUAUCUAAUUAUGGUUAAGUUAGUGUCUAGACGAGCAAAAAUAUUAAAGCCUAAACUCCCAAAAGUAAAUGCAGCGAUCUAGCAUGAUAAUAAAAAUACAUUAUCAUGUGAAUGUGGGUGAAAUUUGGAUAAGGGAAUCUUUAGGGAUUCACAACAAGUUUUCGUCAUUUGACACUCUUAACACAUUGAGAAUUAAAGAGAUUACAUUUAUAUAUCUAUUUUAGUUAACUAAAUAGCUUAAACAGCAAGUUACCAGUUGAUGCGAUCUCAUCAGAAGGGUUAAUAUCUCACUACUUUAGAUUUUAGUUAAUAUCACAACAAAACGAUUAUGGUCAAGUCAAUAUAUAGUUGCGUACAACUAACGAAUAAAUCAGAAAUCAGUGCAACUAAUGGAACCACUCAUAAGAUUACUUUCACAUCUAUGUAAAAUUUCAUUUUAUUUUAAUAAAAAAAAACAUGCAACUGGUUGAGGUUCGACUAAUCUCUCUGGGAUAAAUAUAAUCGUCAAAUACUUCAUUCAUCUCAAUUUGUAUUACAUUUCACACACACACACACGCAUAUAUAUAUAUGUUAACACUGAAUACAUCAUAUCAUUUCUGUUUUUCCGGGAGGACUCGUAAUUUAGUGGAUAGUUAUUUAAUUUUUUUACACCAAGUUUAAAAUUUGAUUCACAGAAUAUAUAUUUUUUUUUAUAGAUUAUAUGGUGUAAAGUUUAUAAGUUUUUGAGUGCAACAAGCACAACCGUUCAUUAUGAUUGUAUGUUGUGAAUAUUAUAUAUUCAUCAAGAAUGUCGUAAAUACAAAAUCGUCCGUCAAUCCUUUCCAGCACAGUGGGAUCCGAAGCUUGGAAUUCACGUGNNNNNNNNNNNNNNNNNNNNNNNNNNNNNNNNNNNNNNNNNNNNNNNNNNNNNNNNNNNNNNNNNNNNNNNNNNNNNNNNNNNNNNNNNNNNNNNNNNNNNNNNNNNNNNNNNNNNNNNNNNNNNNNNNNNNNNNNNNNNNNNNNNNNNNNNNNNNNNNNNNNNNNNNNNNNNNNNNNNNNNNNNNNNNNNNNNNNNNNNNNNNNNNNNNNNNNNNNNNNNNNNNNNNNNNNNNNNNNNNNNNNNNNNNNNNNNNNNNNNNNNNNNNNNNNNNNNNNNNNNNNNNNNNNNNNNNNNNNNNNNNNNNNNNNNNNNNNNNNNNNNNNNNNNNNNNNNNNNNNNNNNNNNNNNNNNNNNNNNNNNNNNNNNNNNNNNNNNNNNNNNNNNNNNNNNNNNNNNNNNNNNNNNNNNNNNNNNNNNNNNNNNNNNNNNNNNNNNNNNNNNNNNNNNNNNNNNNNNNNNNNNNNNNNNNNNNNNNNNNNNNNNNNNNNNNNNNNNNNNNNNNNNNNNNNNNNNNNNNNNNNNNNNNNNNNNNNNNNNNNNNNNNNNNNNNNNNNNNNNNNNNNNNNNNNNNNNNNNNNNNNNNNNNNNNNNNNNNNNNNNNNNNNNNNNNNNNNNNNNNNNNNNNNNNNNNNNNNNNNNNNNNNNNNNNNNNNNNNNNNNNNNNNNNNNNNNNNNNNNNNNNNNNNNNNNNNNNNNNNNNNNNNNNNNNNNNNNNNNNNNNNNNNNNNNNNNNNNNNNNNNNNNNNNNNNNNNNNNNNNNNNNNNNNNNNNNNNNNNNNNNNNNNNNNNNNNNNNNNNNNNNNNNNNNNNNNNNNNNNNNNNNNNNNNNNNNNNNNNNNNNNNNNNNNNNNNNNNNNNNNNNNNNNNNNNNNNNNNNNNNNNNNNNNNNNNNNNNNNNNNNNNNNNNNNNNNNNNNNNNNNNNNNNNNNNNNNNNNNNNNNNNNNNNNNNNNNNNNNNNNNNNNNNNNNNNNNNNNNNNNNNNNNNNNNNNNNNNNNNNNNNNNNNNNNNNNNNNNNNNNNNNNNNNNNNNNNNNNNNNNNNNNNNNNNNNNNNNNNNNNNNNNNNNNNNNNNNNNNNNNNNNNNNNNNNNNNNNNNNNNNNNNNNNNNNNNNNNNNNNNNNNNNNNNNNNNNNNNNNNNNNNNNNNNNNNNNNNNNNNNNNNNNNNNNNNNNNNNNNNNNNNNNNNNNNNNNNNNNNNNNNNNNNNNNNNNNNNNNNNNNNNNNNNNNNNNNNNNNNNNNNNNNNNNNNNNNNNNNNNNNNNNNNNNNNNNNNNNNNNNNNNNNNNNNNNNNNNNNNNNNNNNNNNNNNNNNNNNNNNNNNNNNNNNNNNNNNNNNNNNNNNNNNNNNNNNNNNNNNNNNNNNNNNNNNNNNNNNNNNNNNNNNNNNNNNNNNNNNNNNNNNNNNNNNNNNNNNNNNNNNNNNNNNNNNNNNNNNNNNNNNNNNNNNNNNNNNNNNNNNNNNNNNNNNNNNNNNNNNNNNNNNNNNNNNNNNNNNNNNNNNNNNNNNNNNNNNNNNNNNNNNNNNNNNNNNNNNNNNNNNNNNNNNNNNCGGAUCCCACUGUGCUGGAAAGGAAGAACAAGAGGAGAAUGGGAAAGAAACUUUGUGAAUACAAGAAUAGAAUGGGAAAGAAACUUUGUGAUUUAAGAAGAAGAGGAGAAAUCUCAAUCUUUUUUGAAGAAGAAAUCUCAAAUGAAAAUUCAUAAAACCAUAUAUUUGUGGUCUGUGAUUGAAGAAGAAAUCUCAAAUGAAAGAACCCGAAAAAUAAAGUGAAAAAAGAGAGAUGAAGUUUGAUACACACGGAGUAGAGAAGAAGACUAUGAUGUUUAUAAAAAGAGAUGAUGACUGAUGCUUUCAUUACAACAAACGGUCUGUGAUACAACAAAACAAGAUCAAAAGGUUUGAUACACACGUGAUACAACAAAACCAAGUCCACUACAAAACAAGCAGCAGACUACAAGAGCUGACCACAAAAUUACAAGAGCCCUACCACAAAAUUACAAGAGCCUGGCCACAAAACUACAAGAGCUGACCACAAAACUACAAGAGCCUGAUCACAAAACUACAAGAGCUGACCAGAAGAAAAGUUUUACCUGAAAGAUUUGUGGUGACCAAACGCCUGAGCCAUUCCCAUUAAUAGAGCCCUUCUCGGACUCACUCUUUUGAUGGUCUCCAGUGUCUGCAGAACAUCAGUACGCAUACAUCAAUAAACCCAUAAGCUCACUUUUAAAAUAUGCUACUAAGCUGACACAAAGACAAAACAAACCAUUCUCUAAUAUACCAGAGACUCCACCCAUGCGCCGCUCAGUGCAAGGCUUCCAAGAGCUGGAGUGACGCAGCUCCGCCAUUGCUCCUCGCCAAAACAAACCACUAUCGGUUCUUUCUUUCUUCUUCUCAAUCUCUGUGGUUCUUACUUGCCAUGUGAGGGAAGAGCUUGAAGGAGAGUACCGAACACGAAGACAACAAAACAAAUGAAAAAGAAUCAGAGGAUUUCUAUAUUAAACUAAUAUACAUGAUUUUCAUGGAAUGAAAAUUUUUUCAUUGACUCAAUCAAUAAACGAAAUGAUCAAAUGUGUGAAUAAGCUCUCUAUCAGAAACGAGAAUUAACAGACUAAACAAGCGACGCGAACAAGAAGGAACACAAUCUGGGACAUGCAAAAUUGAGGAUUUCAAAAAUAAAAUCUAGAUUUUGGAGCUUUACCUUUCGAUUUAACUUGGCGCCGGCCGAGGAGUUUGUUUGUAAAGGAGAGCCACCGAUUUCCUCCGUCGAGGAGAGCCACAGAGAUUCUCCGACGCUCAUAGCCACCGAGAUUCUUCUCCGAGCAACGCCACCGAGGUUCUUCUUCGAGGAGAGCCACGGAAAUUGGUCGUCGACGAAACUCUCCGGCGAUUUUUCGGUUACGAAAGCCACAGACGAGAUUCUUCCACGGUGAGAGUACCGAGACUCUUUCUCGCGGAAUCCACUGUCAUCUUCGUCGCCUUCAUCUUUUGUUUUUCUCUCAAAAUCACACCUCCAAUACUGUACCAACACGUGGCCCACAAGAGGCGUUGCUUCCACCCCCUAUUUAGAAUACGUCCCUUAAGUUAAUGGCAAUUUAUCUUUUCUUUUAAUUGCUAAUUCCCUUAAUAAACCCAUCUAAGAGACCCCAAUGCACAUGCUCUCACUACGCCAACUUUUCUGUUUUCAAUUUUUCAUUAUUAUUCUUUUUCUCCUUUCCUUUUUUUUGUUAUUUAUUACGAUCAUUGAAGCUGAAAAGUAAAAAAAAAAAUGAAAUGAUCGAAUAACCCUUUAUUAGUUGAAUAAGUUUCUCCUAAAUAAAUAUAAGACAUUUUGAAUAAAGGGUGUCUAGAUGAAUAAGUUUCUCCUAAAUAAAUAUGUAAGUCCACAUAGCAAUACAUUGAAUUCUGAAAAUGUUGACAAAAAACAUGGAAUAUGAUUAAUUGCAUUAAGCUAAUAUAAUAAUACACAGAUGGCAAAAAAGAAGAAGCUAAGUUAGAUAUAAAACAAUUGUGACCGCGUUCGAGAGCAAUAAUUUAUUCGACCGCAUGAUAAAUACAAUGGCGCACGUACUAUAGACAAUUGUAUUUGAAAAACUUCAUUUCAUGAUCUAACACAUGUCUAGUAGUCAGACGAUAUGAAUGUCGACUACGAUACAGACUACUCCUUUUAAAUAUAAACACUGAAUGAUUUAGUAUUUUUUAUAUUUUAUCGACGAUGAGACAUGUGGAAAAUUCAAAUUUAAAUCUUACAAAGUCAAUACCACGACGAGGGACGUAUAUUAAUUCAAAUUAUUCGACCGAUUAAUCAAUAUUGAUCACCCAACACGGUUGCUGUUAUAUGAAUAUGAAAAAGAGAAAAUAAAACAAUAUAUAUAUCAAAUAUUAAUGUGAAAAUGCAGAGAGAGCGAUAUGAAUGAGAUAAAAUAAUAAUGAUGAAUAAUCGUUUCACGUCAAAUUCAAAGUCAGGAUACGGAAUCCAGAGUCGAGUGGGGGUAAAACCAUGACAGUAGAAGAGAGUAGUCAACUACUCUUUAGGGGUGUUUUGUCUUUUCAUUUAUACUUCGUGUUUUAUCCGCACGUACGUGCAUAAUUCUUUUAUAGAUAUUUCUUAAUAAAUGUACUAUUAAAGUUCAAGAAAUUGUUUUUAAGUUAAACAUUAAAUUUGUAAUAUUUUUAUGAGUCUUUCAAUUUCUUAAUUUUUACUAAUUUAAAAACAUUAUUUUGGACAACAUUGUCAAUAUUUUAUUAUUUUAAAAUAUGUUAUUAUCUUUAAACAAUUUUAAUUAUAUUAAUUUAUAAUAAUUAUCUAAUUAAAUAACAAAUAUACAACAGCUAAUAUAAAGCAAUGUUAUUCAAUCAAAAUUUUGAAAUUACCGAAACCCAAAAAUCUCAAAAUAAAUCAAAAGCAAAACAAUGUUUAACCUAACCCAACUUUACAUAUUAUAUUAAUUAAAGUAAAUAAACGAUUGAUAUUGUAUAAUUAUAUUGUGAAAUAUCUUUCAUAAUACUUCAUCCGUUUCAUAAUAAGUGUCACUUGGAUACAUUUCACGCAUAUUAAAAAUAUAAAAAAUAUACUAAUCUAUUCUUAUUUAUUAUACAAUUAUUUAAAUAAAAAUGAUUUAACUAAACAUCUAUUGGUUAUUUAAAAGGAUAAGAAAGAGAUUUAAUGUAAAAAUUUACAUUGGAAAUGUAGAAUGACACUUUUUUGAAACAAAAUAAAAAAGAUAAAAUGACAUUUUUUAAACAAAGAUAACUGAAUAAACACUAAAAUAAACCAACUAUGUUGACAAAUAAAACAUUAAUAUAUAAUGUACUGAAAAUUCGAUAUAUAUUGUUAUACUAAUCUAAAUUCGACCUCCCGCAUAUGAAAGCAAGAAGGAGGUCAGUAAAAAAAAAGAGAUGUUAAUUAAUCAAAAGUCCAACUGAUCACCAUGUCUGUAUUGUAAAUAAGCAGUUACGAAUAAUCCAGCCAAAGUAAUAGGAAUUAGACCUAAGACGAUUCCAAAUAAAGAAACUUCAAUCAUUUCAAUUUUCUUUUGUUUUCAUUUUUGAAAGGGAGAAAAGAGAGGUACUAUCUAUUCCUAGCUCUUAAUCUGUAUUGCCGACGAAUCUCAAUGGCCAAAGUUGGGUAAUUAACAUGGUAAGGAACUAUCAAACAUAUGAAAUACCAUAUAAAUCUUUUUUGAUCAAAAAAGAUUCAUUCAAUUAAUUUCAAAUAAGUCGUAUUUUGCGUAGACCAAUAAAUAGAACUGAGGUUAUAGUUAAAGCUGCUAGUAGAAAACCGAAAUAACUAGUUAUAGUAGGCAUGAAGGGACUCAAUAAAAUAUGUUUUUUAUACAUAUGUUUCUAAAGUACUUCCCGAAGUUUUAAAAAAAAUUAGAUAGAAAAUUUGUGUGUUAUCAAGCAUUAUCGGUGGUAUGAACAAAAAUAGAGAAAAAGAAAAAACGAAAUUCAUCGUCUUUGGCAUCUGCACCAUCUCAGGAUUCAGAAUUCACGUAACUGAUUCAUUGAAAAACUCUUUAAGAAAUUAAUAAGAAAAAAUAAUACGUAAAAAAGAUAACUCUAUUAUAUAACUUCAGUUAAAACAUAGAACUUUUUUUGAAUAAACAUGUAAAAUUUUUUUAAAAAGUUGUUUGAUUCUUUUUUUUAAGUGACCUUAGAACCUAGAAUACGCCCCCUUCUACAUUUAUUCAAAUUGAAAUAAAUUCAAUUUUUAAUAUAGUAGAGCAGUUUUCUUCAUUUAAUCUAUGAAAUUAAACCAAGAAGCAGUAUCCUACACGGAGAACGAGAUCAGUCAAAAAAAAGUUAUUUAUUUUAACUAGAUUUUUAAAACUUGUAAUUAGCAAUUUCUAUUAUCGUUUCCUUUCUAGGUUUUAGUUUUUUUUUUCUUUCGAUAUUAUAUAGAAAAUAGAGUGAAAAACUCAUCAUCUUUGUAGUUAGUUAAAGAAAGAAAAAACCUUUAAAUUGAAUACAACAAAACAAUACACGCAUUCCAAAGAUUUAGUAUUAUUAUUUUUUUAUUAUUUGUUGAUCUUUUGAAUUGAUCCAAAACUAUUCUUCCUUUUCUUGUUACUGGAAAUUAUCUAACACUUCAGUUCUAUACUAAUUCAAAUUGCGUUGCUGUGUCAGAAGAAUGAUAGCUAUACUGAUUCUGUAGACUCUAAAAAUACCCUUGGUUCUUUAUUGACGAUCUCACAAAGAUGUAAUCUCAGUGAAUUUGAAUUUACUAAUUAAUCUUUUACAGAAUCGAUUCCCUACAAGAAUAUCUGGAGUUCAGUAUGUCUGGAAGCACAGGAGAACGUUCUUUUGCUGAUAUUAUUACCAGUAUUCGAUACUGGGUCAUUCAUAGCAUUACUAUACCUUCCCUAUUCAUUGUGGGCUGGUUAUUCGUCAACACCGGUUUAGCUUACGAUGUGUUUGGGAGCCCUCGUCCAAACGAGUAUUUUACAGAGAGCCGACAGGGCAUUCCAUUAAUAACAUGUCGUUUUGAUUCUUUGGAACAACUCGACGAGUUUAGAAGAUCUUUUUAGGAGGACCCAAUGACUAUAGAUAGGACCUAUCCAAUUUUUACAGUGCGCUGGUUGGCUGUUCAUGGACUAGCUGUACCUACCGUUUCUUUUUUGGGGUCAAUAUCUGCAAUGCAGUUCAUCCAACGAUAAACUGAAUUCAAUUAUUUAUAGAGCUAUGACCCAAUCAAAUCCGAACGAACAAAAUGUUGAAUUAAAUCGUACCAGUCUCUAUUGAGGGUUAUUACUCAUUUUUGUACUUGCUGUUUUAUUUUCAAAUUAUUUCUUCAAUUAAAAUGAAGUAAAAUUAAGAAAAGAGCGUAGAAUAAUAAAAUAAAAAACAAAGAGUAGUAAUUUUCUUAUCCCAUUCGGAUGGAUUAUAUAUCAUAAUUAUCUCUGACUGUUUAUGUUUCUAGCAUGACCACUCGAUGAAAUGUGGAGGGAAGCGGGAUAAAUGGCUGAUACUACUGGAAGGAUUCCUCUUUGGGUAAUAGGUACUGUAGCUGGUAUUCUUGUGAUCGGUUUAAUAGGUAUUUUUUUAUGGUUCAUAUUCAGGAUUAGGUUCAUCCCUGUAGAAAUUGGAUGAACUAAGUUAUAGACGUGAAAACAUAAGAACUCAACGGGGCCCAACUCUUCCUUCUUUGUCUGAUUCGAGGGGGUCCCGUUGAACUGCUAAUAAUCAGAACAAUUUUUAUCGUAUUUUUGAAAAAUGAACUUAAUUAGAUUAGUAGGUUACGAGCAUAUAGUAUUUAUUAUUAACCUUUCAAAGAUCGAAAAAAGGGGGGGAGGGGGAUCACUUAAUUUUAUUUUUCUGCUUUCCCGACUGACACAAUAUUUUUUAUCAUUAGAUUUAUCAUUAAAAUUUUGUCUAUACUAAUAGAAGUUUUUUCUUAUUUUUUUAUUAUUUCAUCAAACUUGAAAUUAAAAUAAAUAAAACUACAAAAAGUAACUAUUAUUAUUCAAUUAAUUAAUAAUUAUAUAUACGAUAUAUAUACUAAUAUAGAUAUAUUAAAACCUUAUAUAUAUAUAAACAUUAAUAUAUAUGUAAACUAAGAAUAUGAUUUUUUAACGAAUGUAAUUAAUAAUGACAAGAUCGACACAAGAAAAGGAUGUCUACAAUUCUUUUUCUUGUGUCGAAGACUCGCAAGACAAGUAAUACUCCCUAUAGUCCCUAAAAUUUGUUAUUUCGCCAAUUUCUAGUUUCCUUUUUUCUGCGCUUGCUUUCCUUAUUUUAGUAUCUAGUCAAAUUUUUCCAUUCUAAAUUACAUUAGAAAAAAACUCUUGAUUAUUGAUACAUUCUAUCAAUUUCAAUUGGUCACUAACGACAGAGUUACAUCACACCCCCUCCCAUUUUUCAAUACAAAUUUGUAUUGAAAAAUAAAGAAAAGAGGGUAAAGUGAAUUCUUCUUAAUAUACAUACUAGGAUUAGGACUAUCAGACAAGUAAUUCCUGACACCUGGUCGAAAUCGAAAGUCUAAAGAGAGGCAAAAAGGCUUUUGAUAAUUUUUUUGGUUCUUUCCUUUUUACUAAUUUGAUAAGGCGAAAUAGACAGAUCUAAAAAUUCAUUUCGGAUAAUUUAACCUUCUCAAACUGUUUCUUUUUAAGAACCAAAAAAAUUUGUGCCAAAACAACAGAUCCUAAGAAGAACAAAAGGCCUUGGACACGUAAUGGAUCUUGAAGUACUAUUUCCGCAUCCCCUGACCAAAUCCACCCACAUUAUGAUUGCUUGUUAAUGGUUGAUCGAGUUUAAUGGAUUCGCCCUCUGAAACAAGAAGUUCUAGGCCUCGAGGGAUAAUAUCAAUUACUUGGCGUUCAUUCGAUGCAUCCACUAUGGUUAUUUCGUAUCUCCCUUUUUCUUUUCUUAAAAUUUUACUUAUUAUCCCUCCUGCCGUAGCAUUAUAAACUGUAUUGUUACUUUUGCUAUCAUCAGGAUAAAUCUGACCCCUUCCCCUAUUUCCACCUACGUAUAUAGGAUAUUUUAAGAAGUGGACAUAUUUAUUAGUAGCAGGGUCUGAGGCAAGAAUAGAAAAAGUUAUUUCACUAUAUUUUUGACCAGGACCUAUCACAAGAAUAUUUUUUUAUUGGGGCGAUAAUUCUGAAAAGACAGAUUUCCUAUCUUUUAUUUCAUCUCGGGUGAAAUAUGAUCGGGGGGGGGGGAGGCAAAUUCAAACCCCUCCGGUAAAAUAAGAACAGCUCCCACAUUCAAAGCUCCUUUUUUACCAUUAGCUAGAACUUGUUUUAGCUGCAUAUCAUAAGGAAUUUUAACAACUGCUUCAAAUACAGUAUCAGGAAGUACCGCUUGUGGAACCUCAAUAUCCACGGGCUUACUAGCUAAAUGGCAAUUGGCACAUACAAUACGCCCAGUUGCCUCUCGUGGAUUUUCAUAAUUCUGCUGGGAAAAAAUUGGAUAUGCAUUUGAAAUGGAUGCCCAAGUUAUUAUAUAUAUCAUGAGUGAGAUAGAUAUGGAGCAAGUAAUCUCUUCCCUUAUCCAAGAAAAGGUAUUUCUAGUUUGCAUGGUCCAAUCGUUUAUCCCGAAAAUUUCUACCAUAAAGUUAGGUAGAUCGAUAAUAUACUUCCCUAGCCACAAUUCUGCUAUUUACAUUUACUGAAAAAAGAUUUUUUUUUUUUGAAAUAUACAAGGAAUCCCUCGUGGGUAAAAAAGAGUAAAGUAAAUACGACUUUGAUUUGGUUAUGAUGUAUAAAGUAAGAAAUGGUAGAAUUGGAUCAGUGAAUCGUUUUUUAGCCAUUUAUUGCAUGAUAAAUCACUACAAGUGACGGAGAUACACGAUUUAAAUAACGAAAGAUCCAAUAUUUAAAAAUUGUAUCAAGAAUGACUGGAAAGGUAGAAACUAGACCAGAUAAAAUUUGCUCAUAAUGAGCAAACCCAAAAUCUUUGUAAAUAUAACCAAUCAUUAGUUCCCAACCGUGAGGCGAAUGGAAUCCGAUACAUAAAUCAGUUAAUAAAAGAAUCGAAAAAGCUUUAAUUGUAUCACUUAAAUUAUAUAGGAAUUCUUGAACCCAAGAAUUGAGAAUAAAAAGCUUUUCCUUACCCCAAAAGGAAUAACCACUUAGAAUAACGAAAGAUAUUAGAUUUGUUGAGAAGUGCAAGAUUGUAUGGAUACUAUACUCAUUGUGUAUUUUGAUGAAUUGGAUCGUUUCUUUGUGGAUUCCUAGACGAAAUUGUUGUAAAUCGGUUUCUGGGUAUUCCUUUAUCAUUUCAUCCAGCUGGAAUAAUUCCUCUAAUUGUAUGAAUUUUUCUAGAACACUUUUUUCUUGAAUAUCAUUCAAGAAAGUUUCGCAUUGUCUAGUAUUCCACCAAUUAGUAAUCCAAGUUUUCAAAAUUUUAUUACAGCAGAGAGAGAUCAACCAGGGCAAAAAGACUAUAGAUGUAAAAAAAAAAAAAAGGAAUGAAUGCUUUAUUUUUUGCCAUUUUGAAUCUGUGAAUUGUUAAUGAAACUACCGCAUUUGUGGAUUCUAUUAGAUCUACUAUUUUUAUCGAGCAUGAGUUUCUAUUCCAAUUCAAAUAGAAUGUAUUGAGCCUAUAAUCCCUUUUAUCUUUUUUCUUUUGAUUCAAUACUUAGUCUUUGCUUUGAAUCUAGAAAGAAUACAUAAAUAGACUCAGAAUACACUUACAAUUAGAAUAAAGAAAAAAAUUGUAUUUCCAGGAUGUUAUUCCCCCUUUUUCGAUCAAUACUAAAAGAACUUUUUUGAAUUUUUAAAAUAAAAAAUAUGAUUCUAUUUUCGAGACGAAUAAACUCCCUUUCUUUUCUAUCAAAUAUAUAAAAAAAACAAGCAUAAAAGAAUAGAUGAAUGUUCAAUUGAAAAAAAAAGAAAGCAAUUCUUUCGUUUUUUCUUCCUACUGCCAAAGACUUUAGUCUUUAAACUUUAAAGAUGAAUUCAUUUCAAAAUACUUCAAUUGGUACACGCAAGAAGUAAGCCAAUUCAGCAGUUUUUUGCUCAAUUUCUCGUGUAGUAAAAUUCUCAUUGGUACACGCAAGAGACCCCGUUAUAAAUUCUAUCCAUAGAGAUUCUGAUCACCAACUCAUAUAUAUUAGAUCCAGUUAUACAAUUUUUUGGAGUUGAGAAAAUAUGACUUUCCUUUUUUUGUUUUCAAAGUAACUCUCAUCAACAAUAACUAUUUUGUUGUGAACCUUUACUUUAGGAAUAAUUUAUAUAAUUGUUUAUAUCUAAAAUAAUAAAAUCUCCUUCCUUUAUAUGUCCCCUAUAACUAUAUGCAUACAAAUAAAUACAUUGAUAACUAUAUGCAUACAAAUAAAUACAUUGAUAACUAUAUACAUACAAAUAAAUACAUUGACUUGAAUUUCAUCCAGCGGUCCGAUGAUGAUCCAUUUUUUCAAAAGAGCGCAAAUUGAGUUACCCCAUAUAAUACGUUUACACAUGCAUAAAAACUUUUUUUAGUUAUGUUUGUUGGAAUCUAUGUGUUAUACAAUAUUCUACCAAAUGGGUCUUAUCAGAUCGAAGUUUUUAAAAUAAAAAGGGGAGUUAUACGAUUCAGUCUCAUCCGAUCUAAAAAAUCUUAUUUUUUUGAAUAUGAAGAAAUAAAGAAGCCAUUGCAAGUGCCGGAAAGACUAGGCCUACUAAAGGCACAAAAAUAGAGGGUAAGUUGUUGAAAGUUGUCAUAAAAUGGGGUACCUCAAUUUAAUAUUUGUACCUGUUAUUAUUAUAUUCUGAAUUCUAAAGAUAUCUUAGAAUAUCUUGUAGUUUUAUUAUUUCUAUUAUAUAUAUUAUAUAAUUAUACUAAGUAUCUUUAAGUAAAUAUAUAUCGAAUACUAAUAUACAACCUAAUAGAAAUAUAUAGAAUAGAACCUACUAGAAAUAGAAUAAAAAAAUAGGUACAAGAAACGCCAAACUAAAUAAAUGGACUUAUUAAUCUUUCAAAAUAAAAUAGAUGUAUUAUCAUAAUCUCCCUGUUAGAUUUAUUAUUCUUUUUGUUCUUUUUGUCUUUUAAUAGUCAUUAAUAAAGAAAAUUUUUUAUUCCAUUAAAAUUUUAUACAAAAUUGAUUGGAAUCUGAUCCACCAACAGGGAAUUUUUGGGAAAUGCAAAACGAUGCAAGACUCUCUAUAGAUCUAUAUCUCUAUUUGAAUUAUCUAUCCAUAUGCAAGCAAGAGAGGAAAAAAACUUUGUUUUAUUUUUUAGUCGAAUUUGAACUUCCCGAAAGCAAAAAUUCACUUUUUAUCUUGUUGAUAAAGGUUUACUGAGUAGUAAACAAGAAUAUCGAUAAAAAAUGAUUCGAAAGAAAAAUGAAAUUUUCAGGGUUUUCGUUUAAUUAUGAUAAACACACUGUUCUAUUUGAUUUCAUUUUUGUUCAAAGGGAAAAAAGCAUGGAGCUGAAAUAACUCACUCACAACACCUUUUAAAGGAUUACGUGGUACAAUUGCAUCCAAUAAGCCCUUACGUAAUAAAGAUUCAGCUGCUUGUGAACCUUCAGGCACGGCUUUUUUCAAUGUUUGUUCAAUUACUCUUUUACCUGAAAAUGAAAUAUAGGCAUAGGGUUCGGCAAUAAUGAUAUCCCCCAACAUACCAAAACUUGCUGUCACCCCACCGGUAGUAGGAGAUGUAAGAAUUGAUAUAUAGAAUAACUUUUUACUUGAUUGAUAAUCACAUAAAACCGAAGAAAUUUUAGCCAUUUGCAUCAAACUUAAACUUCCUUCUUGCAUUCGUGCUCCUCCGGAAGAACACACUAAAAUAAGAGGUAAACAUUGAUUGGUAGCAUACUCGAUCAAACGAGUUAUUUUUUCGCCUACUUUGGAUCCCAUACUACCCCCCCAUAAACUGAAAAUCCAUAACCCUAAGAGCUACCGGAAUACCGUUUAAUUGACAUGUACCUGUUUGAAUAGCGUCAGUCAACCCUGUCUUUUUUUUAACAGAGGCAAUACGCUUUUUAUAAGGUUCCUCCCUCGAAUGAAAUUUAAUGGGAUCCGCAAAGACCAUGUCUUCAUCCAUAGGAUUCCAAGUACCCGGAUCACUCGAAAGCUCAAUUCUCUCUGAACUGGUCAUUUUCAAAUAAUGUCCACAUUCUUCACAAACAUUCAUUUCGACUUUCUUAUACAUUAAUCCAUAACAAUUGUCGCAUUGAAUCCACAAUUGAUUGUAGUUUUUAGUUAUAUCGAAAUCCUUAGAACUCAUUAAAUUAUUAUGAUUACUAUUAGUUCUUAUCUUGUCAUUUUUGCUUUCACGAAUCUUUCCACUUCCACUUCCACUACAAAUGAAAUUAUAAAUGUAACUUUCAUUGGAAUUAUUACUAUCGCUUAAAAAGUGACUAUUAAUACAGAUGUGAGAACGAAAAUAAGAGUCAAUGCAACUAUUAAUGUGAUUAUUACAAUUAUAUUUAGUAUCCUUAAUGUAAGGAUCAUAGUGCAGAUCGUUGUCACCUUUAGAUCUAUUAUUCAGAUAACUAGAACUACAAUAACUAUAAAAAAAAAUUUCUAGGUCACUCAAAUCAUUGUUAGUCUCAAAUUUUUUCUUUUUUAUAUCAAAAUAUAUAGAAUAACUAUUUUUAUUACUAUCCCUAACAAAAAAGGUGUCAUCCGAUAUGAAAUUCAGAAUGUCCUUGGAGUUAACUAAAAAAUCACAUUAUUGUAAUAACUAGAACGCUCACCCCAGCCAUAAAAGUUUUUAUCCAUAUCAUAUAUAAACCGGUCUUUACUUAUAGUAGUCUUUUCAAUAGGAGCAAAACUAUCCCUUGCUUUACUUAGCUCGCCUCUGUAUUCCAAUUCUCCCUUAGAAAACAUCAAAUUGAACCACAAUUUUUUCAUAGAGCUUCUGGCAUCUAUUUACAUGCAAAUAAAAUAACAAUAGAUGAAUAGUCAUUCAAUAAAAAAAUUGAAAAAUGCAAAAAAAAAUUUGAAUAGUUCAUUUUCUAUUCAGAGUAAGCAAAGCAUGUCAAUGCAAUUGCUAAUUGCUAAGAUUAUUAAGUAAAAGCAAUUGAAAUUAAUAAAUUUCAAUACUAAAUGAAAAUAAGGAUUUUCUUAUAUUGUCUAAAAUUCUCAUUAAAAAAAAAGAAAUAUUUGUUCUUCGCUUAUGAAUAUAACGAUAUGAAGAACUUUUUUAGUAAAAUCUCGUAUACUAAUAUAAAAAAAGGCUUUUAUUCCAAUACGGAAUGAAAAGAAAAGGACAACAUGCAGAAUGGGGAGAAGAAGUGGGGAUACUUGGUUCAAGCCCUGACACGAAACUUACAAAAAGAAUAAAAAAAUCCUAAGAAUCCAUAUUUCGUAUAGAAUUUCUUGUGGACACUACAAUACAAAAGUGUAGUUAUGUUUAAUCUUCUUUUUUUUUCAGAUUUUGUAUAUCUAGAUUAAGUAUGUAUCUAUCAAAAACAGUAUAGACACUAGAUAAACUCGGCUCAAUCUUUUUUUACUAAAAGGAUUGAGCCGAGUUUAAUUGCAAUUAAACUAAUAAAACGGACGUGAAUUACUAAUCUAAUUUAUAGUCUUGGCCAUCUAAUUUAUCAAUGGUUGGGAAGUUAAAUGUGAUCUCCUUCCAUACUUCACAAGCAGCAGCUAGUUCCGGACUCCAUUUGCAAGCCUCACGGAUAAUUUCAUUACCCUCGACUGCAAGAUCAUGUCCCUCAUUACGAGCUUGUACACAUGCUUCUAGAGCUACUCGGUUAGCUAUGGCACCCGGUGCAUUUCCCCAAGGGUGGCCUAAAGUUCCGCCACCAAAUUGUAGUACGGAAUCAUCUCCAAAGAUCUCGGUCAAAGCAGGCAUAUGCCAAACGUGAAUACCCCCUGAAGCCACAUGCAGAACACCUGGUAGUGAGACCCAAUAUUGAGUGAAAAAGAUACCACGACUUCGGUCUUUUUCAACAUAAUCAUCGCGCAGUAAAUCAACAAAGCCCAAAGUUUACUCCCUGUCUCCUUCAAGUUUACCUACUACUGUACCCGCGUGAACAUGAUCUCCACCCGAUAGACGUAAAGCUUUAGCUAGUACACGGAAGUGCAUACCAUGAUUCUUCUGUCUAUCAAUAACAGCGUGCAUUGCACGGUGGAUGUGAAGAAGUAGGCCAUUAUCUCGGCAAUAAUGAUCCAAACUAGUAUUUGCGGUGAAUCCCCCUGUUAAGUAGUCAUGCAUUACGUUAGGAACUCCCAAUUCUCUGGCAAAUAUAGCUCUUUUCAUCAUUUCUUCGCAUGUACCCGCAGUAGCAUUCAAAUAAUGUCCUUUGAUUUCACCUGAUUCAGCCUGUGAUUUAUAAAUAGCUUCGGCACAAAAUAAGAAACAGUCUCUCCAACGCAUAAAUGGUUGAGAGUUCACAUUCUCAUCAUCUUUGGUAAAAUCAAGUCCACCACGUAGACAUUCAUAAACUGCUCUACCAUAGUUCUUCGCGGAUAACCCCAACUUAGGUUUAAUAGUACAUCCUAAUAGGGGACGUUCAUACUUGUUCAAUUUAUCUCUUUCAACUUGGAUACCAUGAGGUGGUCCCUGGAAAGUUUUAGUAUAAGCCGGAGGGAUUCGCAGAUCCUCUAGACGUAGAGCAGCCAGGGCUUUGAACCCAGAUAUGUUACCCACAAUUGAGGUAAACAUGUUAGCAACAGACCCUUGUUCAAAAAAGUCUAAUGGGUAAGCUACAUACGCAAUAAAUUGAGUUUCUUCUCCAGGAACAGGCUCGAUGUGGUAGCAUCGUCCUUUGUAACGGUCAAGGCUGGUAAGCCCAUCGGUCCACACAGUUGUCCAUGUACCAGUAGAAGAUUCAGCAGCUACCGCAGCCCCUGCUUCUUCAGGUGGAACUCCGGGUUGGGAGUUACUCGGAAUGCUGCCAAGAAGAUAUCAGUAUCCUUGGUUUCAUAUUCAGGAGUAUAAUAAUUCAAUUUAUACUCUUUAACACCAGUUUUGAAUCCAACACUUGCUUUAGUCUCUGUUUGUGGUGACAUAAGUCCCUCCCUACAAGUCAUGAAUUUAGAAUUCUUGCAAUAAAACAAAACAACAAGGUCUACUCGACAUAAAUUAGGAAUAGAUUUAAUUAACCUUUUUCAUAGGAAUCUUUCACAAAAUUAUCAACUAAUCAGAAUGAUUAUUUAUUAGACCAUGAUAUUUGAUUCGCCAAAUACAUCAUUAUUGUAUAUUCUUUCAUAUGUAUAGCGCAACCUAAUACUUGUUUUUCCAGUUUUGAAUCUUUGACUUUUUAUAAAUCGAAAUAUUUAAUAUUAAAAUAAUAAUAAAAUCACUCUUGACAGUAAUAUAUGUUGUAUAUGUAAAUCCUAGAUAUGACAAUAUGCGGAAUUCAUCCAUGAAAAUGAAAAACAAGGGGGGGGGGGGGUUGAUAUCGAUGGGACGGGAUAUGCUAAAAUGAAAAUAUGAAAAAAGGCCAAUGAGAUCGAAAUAAUGAAUCAUAAAUAGAGUUCCAUUUCGGAAUUGGCUAGAUAAAACAAAGUCUUGCCUAUUAUGACAAAUAAAUCAAAGAUUUCCACAAAAAAAAAAAUUAUUCAUAUAUUUUUGAUUUUAAAACUCGGUUUUGGUUAGUUGAGCUUGAAAACGACUAUUCCUUCAUUGAAAUUUAAUUAAGUAAAAAAUUGAAUUGCAUAUUCGCUUGGGUGGUACCAAUGAAAUCGAGUGCUUACUCCCAUUUAUUAUUGAAUUAACCAAUGAAUUUACUAUCGAAGAUUUUUUCUGUAUUCGAAAAAUUUUGCAACAAAAUUGAACAUAUUUUUUAUUAUGAGAAUAAAUCCUACUACUUCGGAUCCAGCGGUUUCAAUACGUGAAAAAAACAACCUGGGACGUAUUUCCCAAAUCAUUGGUCCGGUACUAGAUGUAGCCUUUCCCCCGGGCAAGAUCCUAAUAUUUACAAUGCUCUGGUGGUUAAGGGUCGAGAUACACUUGGUCAAGAAAUUAAUGUGACUUGUGAAGUACAGCAACUAUUAGGAAACGACCGAGUUAGACCUGUAGCUAUGAGCGCGACCGAGGGUUUUAAAGAGAGGGAUGGACGUGGUUGAUAUGGGAAAUCCUCUAAGUGUUCCAAUCGGCGGAGUGACUCUAGGACGAAUUUUCAAUGUACUUGAGGAACCUGUUGAUAAUUUAGGUCCUAUCGAUACUCUCACAACAUCUCCUAUCCAUAAAUCCGCGCCUGCUUUUAUAGACUUAGAUACAACCUUAUCUAUUUUUGAAACAGGAAUUAAAGUAGUAGAUCUUUUGGCCCCUUAUCGUCGUGGGGGAAAAUCGGACUAUUCGGUGGGGCUGGCGUGGGUAAAACAGUACUAAUUAUGGAAAUGAUCAACAACAUUGCCAAAGCUCAUGGUGGUGUAUUCGUAUUUGGUGGAGUAGGCGAACGAACUCGUGAAGGAAAUGAUCUUUACAUGGAAAUGAAAGAAUCUGGAGUCAUUAAUGAACUAAACCUUGCGGACUCCAAAGUAGCCCUAGUCUACGGUCAGAUGAAUGAACCGCCGGGAGCUCGUUUGAGAGUUGGUCUGACUGCCUUAACUAUGGCAGAAUAUUUCCGAGAUGUUAAUGAGCAAGACGCACUUCUAUUUAUCGACAAUAUCUUCCGUUUUGUACAAGCAGGAUCCGAGGUAUCCGCUUUAUUAGGUAGAAUGCCUUCUGCUGUGGGUUACCAACCCACCCUUAGUACCGAAAAGGGUUCUUUACAAGAAAGAAUUACUUCUACGAAAAAAGGGUCGAUAACCUCUAUUCAAGCAGUUUAUGUACAUGCAGACGAUUUGACUGACCCUGCUCCUGCCACCACAUUUGCACAUUUAGAUGCGACUACCGUACUAUCUAGAGGAUUAGCUGCUAAAGGUAUUUAUCUAGCGGUAGAUCCUUUAGAUUCAACGUCAACUAAGCUACAACCUCGAAUCGUUGGCGAGGAACAUUAUGAAACUGCGCAACAAGUAAAGCAAACUUUACAACGUUACAAAGAGCUUCAGGACAUUAUAGCUAUCCUGGGGUUGGACGAAUUAUCCGAAGAGGAUCGGAUCGCUUAACCGUCGCAAGAGCACGAAAGAUUGAGCGUUUCUUAUCACAACCUUUUUUCGUAGCAGAAGUAUUUAGAGGUUCUCCGGGAAAAUAUGUUGGGCUACCGGAAACAAUUAGAGGGUUUAAUUUGAUCCUUUUCGAAGAAUUUGAUUCUCUUCCUGAACAGGCCUUUUACUUAGUGGGUAACAUCGAUGAAGCUACUGCGAAGGCUACGAACUUAGAAAUGGAGAGUAAAUUGAAGAAAUGACCUUAAAUCUUUGUGUACUGACUCCGAAUCGAAUUGUUUGGGAUUCAGAAGUAAAAGAAAUCAUUUUAUCUACUAAUAGUGGACAAAUUGGCGUAUUACCAAAUCACGCGCCGAUUGCCACAGCUGUUGAUAUAGGUAUUUUGAAAUUACGCCUUAAUACCCAAUGGUUAAAAAUGGCUCUGAUGGGCGGUUUUGCUAGAAUAGGCAAUAAUGAAAUUACCAUUUUAGUAAAUGAUGCAGAGAAGAAUAGUGACAUUGAUCCACAAGAAGCUCAGCAAACUCUUGAAAUAGCAGAGGCGAACUUGAGAAAAGCUGAAGGCAAGAGACAAACAAUUGAGGCAAAUCUAGCUCUCAGCCGAGCUCGGACACACGUCGAGGCUCUCAAUACGAUUUGAUUUUGUAACUAGCUGACGUAUAAAAAUAGGAUCCAAAAGCGAGAAAAAAAAAGAAAAGCUGGCUACAAAAAUUUAUUAGACACCAUUGAUCAUGGUGUUUAAUAAGUUAUACCUACUAUUGGAUUUGAACCAAUGACUCCUGCCGUAUGAAAUCAAUACUCUAACCACUGAGUUAAGUAGGUUAUUUAUCAUCGUAAAGAGAAGGCAAGGGGAUACUUAUCACAUCGAUAGGAUUAUAAAUCCAAUAUUAUUUCUAAGCAAUACCAAUAAACAACGAGAUGAAAGAGAUAUAAUGUUCGAUAAUAUAAUAUUAAUCUUGAAGAGAAAUUAUCUCCAUGAUAAGAUAAAAUGUGGAUCAUAAACACAAGGGCUAUAGCUCAGUUAGGCAGAGCACCUCGUUUACACGUGCGCCAAAGUUUUUCAGAGGAGUCCAUCACGCAAUCAAACCAAUUGAUUGAUCUUAUUAAUAAAUCGAUGUCUUACUCCAUGACUUUUUUUUAGGAAAAAGAGGAGAAGAAUAGCCUGACAUUAGGUCCUAUUAAAGUACCCCAUUUCGGUAGGGAAUUAAUAGAACCCAUCAUUGAUUUGAGAUAUUGAUAGGGUGAAUACCCAGUCUACUAAAUGCUAGGCAGAAUGAGUAUAAGGAACUCAAAAAUGAUCUUUUCGUCCUAUGAACCUUAAGGUGUAGCAAGUUUCAUAUUUGAUUUUUUAAUCAGGAUGUUAGAGACUAUAUUUAACUUAAGUUCAUCUAGACCAAAAGCAAACCUACGUCAAGAGAACCCUUCUUUGAAACACUUUGGUAGUUCUUCUGUAUUGUAUUAGAAUUAAAAAAUAAUCAAUCAGAAUACUUGGAACCAUUUUUUAUCUUUUUUUUUAAGAAAAAAUAUGGUAGACUAACUGAUCUUUCUAUCAGUUAAUGAAAGAGCCCAAUGCAAAAAAAAAUGCAUGUUGGGUCUUUGAAAGAGUUCGAAUCAUUUUGAUAAUAAUAAGUUCGAGCUCUUUUACCGAGCAGGUCUACGGUUCGAAUCCGUAUAGCCCUAACUAAUAAAUUUAUUCUAAUAAAUGACAUUCAAAUCCAAAUAAUUGGAUAAUUUUUGACUUAUUAUUGUAUUCUUUAUUUCUAACUGGUUACUUUCAAUUUGUUGGUUCAUAAAAAAACUCCCAGACCCUAAACCAUAAGUCCUGGGGGUCGUUCAGAAUAAAACGGAAAACCAAAUUUGAUUUCAUUUGAUUUCAGUGGAUCCAAUCACUAUCUAUCGAUAUAUCUAGAUAGAUACUUAUAAUUUAUAAUAAACGUUUUUUAUUCAUUCAUUUUCAUAAUCGUAAGUGGAUUUUUUGAUACGUCAUAAUUUUAAAAACGAAGAUAUUUUUAUCAAAUUGUUUUAUUUUUAAAUAAAACAUAAAAAAAAUUUAAGAAACAGAAAUAAAAAAAAUUACUACUUAUUAAUCAUAUUAAUAUUAUAUUAUUAAUAUGAGAAACUAUUAGUAAUAGAAACAUGUAAAUAUUAAGUAAUAAGUGUACUGAAAAUAAGAUUACAAUCAAUAAAUCUUAAAAGGAGACGUCUACCACAGCAACCAAAUGAAAAUAAAUGAUUCGAUUAACCUGAAUUUUUGUUUUGACGCAAGAGUUAUAUAUACCUUGCCCAAUCCACUCCGAUUGGAAUUGACUAAGCGGGUAUUUUUUCCACAUUCAUAGGAGUUCGUCUAUGUUUCUGCUUUACGAAUAUGAUAUUUUCUGGGCAUUUUUAAUAAUAUCAAGUGCUAUUCCUGUUUUGGCAUUUCUAAUUGCCGGGGUUUUAUCUCCAAUUAUGAAGGGGCCGGAGAAACUUUCUAGUAAUGAAUCAGGUAUAGAACCGAUCGGGGAUGCUUGGUUACAAUUUAGAAUCUGUUAUUAUAUGUUUGCUCUAGUUUUUGUUGUUUUUGAUGUUGAAACCAUUUUUCUGUAUCCGUGGGCAAUGAGUUUCGAUGUACUAGGGGUAUCCGCUUUUAUAGAAGCUUUUAUUUUCGUGCUUAUCCUAAUUCUUUGUUUAGUUUAUGCAUGGCGAAAAGGAGCGUUGGAAUAGUCUUAGUUCGUUUCCUGAAUACUUGUACAAUAACAAUAAAAAAAAGUAAAAAAAAAACUAUUGAAACAAUUAUGAAUUCCAUUAAGUUUCCCGUAAUUGAUCGAACAACAAAAAACUCUGUUAUUUCAACUACGUUAAAUGAUCUUUCAAAUUGGUCAAGACUUUCCAGCCAAUGGCCGCUUCUUUAUGGUACCAGUUGUUGUUUUAUUGAAUUUGCCUCAUUAAUAGGCUCCCGAUUUGACUUUGAUCGUUAUGGGCUAGUACCAAGAUCAAGUCCUAGACAGGCGGACCUUAAUUUAACAGCAGGUACAGUAACAAUGAAAAUGGCUCCUUCUUUAGUGAGAUUAUAUGAACAAAUGCAUGAACCAAAGUAUGUUAUUGCUAUGGGAGCGUGUACAAUUACAGGGGGGAUGUUCAGUACCGAUUCUUAUAGUACUGUUCGAGGGGUUGAUAAGCUAAAUCCUGUAGAUGUCUAUUUGCCGGGUUGUCCACCUAAACCAGAGGCUGUUAUAGAUGCUAUAACAAAGCUUCGUAAGAAAAUAGCAAGAGAAAUCUAUAAGGAUCGAAUUAGACCUCAACAGGGUAAUCGGUGUUUUACUACCAAUCACAAGUUUUUUGUUGUACGCAGUACACAGACUGGAAUGACUCUAUCCACCAUCAUCUAAUUCAGAGAUCUCUGUUGAAACAUUUUUUAAAUACAAAAGCCCAGUACCUUCCCACGAAUUAGUUAAUUAGGGAGGAUUUGAGAGAAUAAGAAAAAAAUCUUCAUAAAUUAGAACUCAUGGUAAAUGUGAAAUACUUAAAUUUAUAUAAAAAAAGUGUGGGGGAAAUAAAAAAGAUACAGGGCACUUUGUCCGUUUGGCUAGCCAAACGCGGGCUGGUUCAUAGAUCGUUGGUCUUCGAUUACCAAGGAACAGAGACUUUACAAAUAAAGCCCGAAGAUUGGCAUUAUAUUGCUGUAAUGUUAAAUGUAUAUGGUUACAAUUAUUUACGUUCCCAAUGUGCCUAUGAUGUGGCACCAGGUGGCCUCUUAGCCAGUGUGUAUCAUCUUACGAGAAUAGAAUAUGGUGUCAAUCAAGCGGAAGAAUUUUGCAUAAAAGUAUUUACUCACAGGAGUAAUCCCAGAAUUCCAUCUGUUUUCUGGGUUUGGAAAAGUACGGAUUUUCAAGAACGGGAAUCUUAUGAUAUGUUAGGAAUCACUUAUGAUAGCCAUCCGCGGCUGAAAUGGAUCUUAAUGCCCGAAAGUUGGAUAGGGUGGCUUUUACGUAAGGAUUAUAUUGCCCCUAGUUUUUAUGAAAUACAAGAUGCUUAUUGAAUGAUAAAAAAUUUGAAUGAUAAAAAUGAGCCUUAGUUUCUACAACUACGGACCUUCGCGGAAUAUUUUGAAUUCGAGUCGUUUUUAGAUCAAUCAAACAGAAGAAUUAAGGUUUUAUUCAUAUUAUUAUAGAUAGCUUAAUCUCCAAUUUGAAAGAUACUUUUUUCCUAAAAGCCGACCAAUAGGAUGAACUAAAAAAAAAAGAGUUAUGCAUUAUGAACUUUGUAUCGCGCAUAUAACUUAGUCAACUUUAGUCACAUAACUGGGAAUGAAUAAGAGGCUGCUGUUGCAAAACAUUCAGGCCAAUUUAGGAUUUGAUCAUUUGUUUACUGUUGAGCCACUUGGUCUCAGCGGAGGUUUAGCUUUUUUUUUAUGGAUGAAUUUCAAGUUAAUGUUUUAUUUUCGAAUAACAGAAUGAUUGACAUUGAGGCAGUCAUUGAUGGAAUAAAAGUCUUUAUGACGUUUGUUUAUGGUGACCCUGUUUUGGAAAGACGAGAUCAAGUUUGGGAACGUCUUACGCGUUUCUCAACAACUAGAACUAGACCUUGGUUCAUGAUUGGAGAUUUCAAUGAAAUCACGGAUCACAAUGAGAAGGAAGGAGGGAGACAGCGUUCUGAUAGCUCGUUCCUACCUUUUAAGCAAAUCCUUACAGACUGUGGGAUGUUAGAGUUUCCUUUUACAGGGGACAUGCUUUCAUGGGUAGGGAAGAGAGCAGGACGUGUAACUGUUUGAUGUCGUCUAGACAGAGCAGUAGGAAAUGCUGAUUGGCAUGAGAAGUUCCCACACUCUAAUGCCAAGUACUUGAGAUUAUGGGGAUCGGACCAUCGUCCGAUUCUUGCAGACAUACUGAAAAAGCCAACGAGAAGAUCAAAGAAAUUCAAAUUUGAUAGGAGAUGGCUAGACAAUGAAGAACUGAGGCAAGUCAUUCUUGAGGGAUGGAAAUCUCCUGAUCUACCCCCCAAUGCGACUAUAAUGGAACAUAUUUCUAGUUGUCGAAAAGCCUUGAGUGAGUGGAGGAAACAACACAAUAUCAACUCGGCAAAGCUAGUGGAGGAGUUAAAGGAGAAAGUUGAGGGUUUAUAUGCAGACGACAAUGCGACGACGGAGGAAAUUGCAGCAGCGUUGAAGGAACUCUCUGAUGCUCUUAAGGCAGAAGAAAUGUUCUGGAAACAAAAGAGUAGAGUGUUUUGGCUGAGAGAGGGAGAUAAAAAUACCAAAUUUUUUCAUGCCUUAACGAAGCAAAGGAGAGCGAGGAACAAAAUCACGCAGCUUCGGGAUGUUGAUGGUAACAUAGUUGAGGAUGAGGAAGGCCUGGUAGCCAUUGCUACUAGCUAUUUUCGGCAAAUCUUCGAAUCAUCUACACCAGAAGACAUUGAAGAGGCGCUAUCUGAAGUUCCUACGACGAUCAUAGGAUCAAUGAAUGACAGCCUCACAGCUCCUAUUUCUGAAUGGGAGGUUAAAUUAGCUCUCUUUGCUAUGCAUCCAGAUAAGGCGCCGGGACCAGAUGGGAUGACUGCACUUUUUUACCAACAGUUUUGGGAUAUAGUCAAGCAGGAUUUAACUCUUAUGGUGAAUAAAUUCCUGUUUGAAGGACAUAUAGCCAAUGGUCUGAAUGAUACAAACAUAUGCCUUAUCCCGAAAACAACUAAGCCUAAUGAUAUGGCUCAGUUUCGACCCAUAAGCUUGUGUAAUGUUAGCUACAAGAUCGUCUCGAAGGUCUUAUGCCAGAGACUAAAGAAAGUCUUGCCAGGAUUGAUAUCAGAAACCCAGUCGGCCUUUGUUACUGGAAGACAGAUUUCAGAUAAUAUCAUGAUUGCUCAAGAGAUGUUUCAUGCCCUACGAACUAAACCGAGUGGACGUAAUAAGAGGAUGGCCAUCAAGACGGAUAUGAGUAAGGCAUAUGAUAGGAUGGAAUGGUCGUUUAUCGAAGCUGUGAUGCGUAAGAUGGGAUUCUCUGAGACAUGGAUCACCUGGAUUAUGAGGUGCAUUACGUCGGUCAAAUACAAAGUUCUCAUGAAUGGGCAGCCAAGAGGGAAUAUUGUUCCAGGUAGAGGUUUGCUCAAGGAGAUCCUUUGUCUCCUUUCAUUUUUAUUCUGUGCACGGAAGCGCUCGUUAGCCUUCUCAAUCAUGCAGAGAACCAAGGGAAGAUAACGGGGAUGCGUAUUACACGCGCAUGUCCUUCGGUAUCCCACCUUCUCUUUGCUGAUGAUAGCCUUUUCUUCUGUAAGGCGGAGCCCUGUGAAUGUGAAGAAGUAAUGAAAGUAGUCAGGAAAUAUGGUAAAGCAUCUGGCCAAUGUAUAAACUUUGACAAGUCUUCCUUACUCUUUGGUAAGAGGAUUAAUGCAGCCACCCGGCAAGAGGUUAAAGAUACACUUGGAAUACACAAUGAUGGAGGGAUGGGAAAGUACUUGGGGAUCCCAGAGGAUAUUAGUGGUUCUAAAUGUAAACUUUUUGCAUUUUUAAAGGAUGAUCUGAUGCAUAGAGUCAAUGGAUGGACUGGUCGAUGGCUCUCAAAAGGGGGAAAGGAAGUAAUGAUCAAAAAUGGAUGGACUGGUCGAUGGCUCUCAAAGGCGGGAAAGGAAGUAAUGAUCAAAUCCAUUUUACUCGCUCUUCCGACAUACGUUAUGUCGACGUUUCUGCUCCCAUUGGAGAUUUGUGAAAACCUCGCUAGUGCCAUUGCACAAUUUUGGUGGAGCUCGAAUCCACCAAAAAGAGGAAUACACUGGGCGAAAUGGGAAAAGGUUUGUUUACCAAAAGAGGAGGGCGGUAUUGGUUUUCAUUUAAUUCAUGAGUUCAAUCUAGCACUACUGGCAAAGCAACUAUGGAGACUGGUCCAAUACCCUGAUUCACUGGUUGCCCGAGUAUUAAGGGGGAGAUAUUAUAGGAUGACCUCGCCAUUGAGAGCGAUCUCUACUAGCAGCCCAUCAUAUGUGUGGACAAGCAUCUCCGCAGCAAGGAAGCUUUUACUGCUAGGUAUCAGACAGAAGAUUCAAUCUGGCUAUGAUGUCAGGGUGUGGGAGGAUCCGUGGAUUCCAAAAACACCUGCUAGACCAGCUAGACCUAUAGCGCCUGUGAUGCACCUAAACAUGAGAGUCAGUGACAUCAUUAAUCAGGAAUCAAAGGAGUGGGAUGUAGGACUACUAGAUGAUUAUGUCCAUCCUGAUGAUAUACCACUCAUUCGCAGCAUGGCCAUAAGCUCUACUCAUCGCCGAGAUACUUUCUGCUGGAACUACACGAGGAAUGGCCAAUACACAGUCAAAUCUGGAUACUGGGUUGCUCAGAACCUGUUGAAGCAAUGAGAGGAAAAGGAAAUACUAGAGCCAAGUAUCACUAAACUUCAAGCCUUUGCUUGGAAGUUACGAGCGCCAAGGAAGAUGUGCCAUCUUAUAUGGCAAUUGAUAACGGGACAGGUAGCAGUAACGAGGAAUCUAGUAAGACGUAAUAUGCGGUGCGAUAAUUAUUGCCCAAGGUGUGGGGAAAUAGAGGAAUCUGUAACUCAUGCAAUAUUUGAAUGCCCUCCAGCCCUGCAAGUAUGGUCUUUAUCGGCAACACCUACAAGUCCAGGUUUAUUCCCAGUGGCAAGCGUUUACACAAACAUGGACUAUCUUUUCUGGAGGAAGAAUAAUAUCAUUGCACCAGACCAAGGCAGGGAUCCUUAUCCCUGGCUAAUAUGGUAUAUCUGGAAGGCUCGCAAUGAUAAGCUUUUCAGGGGUAUAGACAGAGACCCUUUGGAACUCGUUCGAUACGCAGAGAGUGAAUGUCAAGCCUGGUUUAACGCGAAUGAGACGAUACCGCCACACAUCCAGGCUACCAAUAAUGAUGCAAACCAAGUCUUAAGCUUGGGUAAUAUCUGUCUACUAGAUGGAUCUUGGACAGCUUCUGACCGCUUUAGUGGAUGUGGAUGGGUCUGGAUGCAUAGUAGGGAGGACAUACAACUUAUGGGAACACGAAACUUCACUCGAUGUGAAUCAGCGCUGCAUUCGGAGGUAGAAGCGCUGCGAUGGGCGAUGGAGAACAUGCUUCAACACUCGCCGUGCCAGAGCUUUGGAACUGACUGCAAUGAGCUGAUUGCAAUGAUAAAUGAACCCCAGGAGUGGCCAAGAUUUGCGACAGAGCUGGAGAAGAUAGAGACGCUGCAGAUUUGUUUUCCCGAUUUCAAAAUCACCCAUGUACCACGAGUACGCAAUCAGCUUCCUGAUUUUUUAGCUAAGACUGCUAGGAGCUUUCGUAAAGAGUUACUUUUCAUUGGUUGUUCUAUUCCGGUCUGGUUACCCAGACCACCUCAAGCUUGAGAAAUAGAAUGGCCGUUCGACGUCAAAAAAAAAAAAAAAAACUUGGAAUGAAUAAAUAAGAUUGGAAAGCAAGACAAUAAAUGGGGGGGUUAAAAAAAAAAAAAAAAUUUGGAAAAAAAAAAAAAAGGUGGAAAAAAAUAAAAAAGGGGGGGGGGGGGGGGUUAAAAUUAUAUUUCUAUUGUAUCUAAUCUAAUGAAUCUUGGGGGUAUUUCUGCCCUUCUAGAUACUAUAGAUAGAUAUAGAUCUUUUUUUUUUACUUUUUUUUUUAUUCUUUCAACCAGAACUUUCCUUUCGAAUAUGUAUUUGGUAUAAAGUCUUAUACAUUUUUUUUUGAACGGAUGGAUCCACAACAUGAACAAAAAAGAGAGGGGGGUAAAGGAUUAUUGCACUUUUUUUACUAAAGAUACGUUUAAUUUGAAGACUAUAAACUUAUCAAAAUUAAUCAAUCCUAUGCCAAGAACCAGAUUUGAACUGGUGACACGAGGAUUUUGAGUCCUCUGCCCUAUGCCAAGAACCAGAUUUGAACUGGUGACACAAGGAUUUUCAGUCCUCUGCUCUACCAACUGAGCUAUCCCGGCCAUUACCAAGUAUCAUUCUCAUUUUAUGAGAUGACUUAGGUCUAUGUCAAUUAAAAGAAACGCAAAAGUAGUAAAUGAAAAAAGUUUUGGACCGGGAAUUUAUUGGAUCUUCGAAAAGAAGACUUUCUAAGUUUUAGAAUGAAAAAUUAUUUAGAUUCGAAAUAAUUCAAAUUGAUAGUUCUUUCUCAUUUGUAUAUGUAUGAUAUAUCCCACAAGAGUUGUAUAUAAUAAAAAAAGAAAUUCGAGUUUGUAAAAGUGUCGGAUGAAUGAAAAAAGAUCAAUGAAUUCUUGAAUAACUAAAAAAAGGGUAAGGUGUCAAACAGACUUUUUUAGGGAGUAGGGUUGGGGAUAGAGGGACUUGAACCUUCACGAUUUUAAAAGUCAACGGAUUUUCAUCUUACUAUAAAUUUCAUUGUUGUCAGUAUUGACAUGUAGAAUGGGACUCUAUCUUUAUUCUCGUCCGAUUAAUAAGUUCCACCAAGGAUCUAUCAGACUAUGAAGUGAAUCGUUUGAUUCAACACAAGGGAUUGAACUCCAUUUGUUAGAACAGCUUCCAUUGAGUCUCUGCACCUAUCCCGCUUUCUAAACUCUGGUUUGUUUGCGUAACCCAGGAUUUGGCUCAGGAUUGCCCAUUGUUAAUUUCAGGGUUUCUCUGAAUUUGAAAGUUAUCACUUAGUAGGUUUCCAUACCAAGGCUCAAUCCAAAUAAGUCUGUAGCGUCUACCAAUUCCGCCAUAUCCCCCUAUUUGCUUUGAGAUUAGGAUCUCAUUAUGAUGUCUUUCCACUUUUUCUUAUGACGUGGAAUUCAUUACAUACAGAUACUUAUUUUAUUUCUUUGGUAUCUUCUUGCAUUUUUUUUUAGCCUCAUCCAUAUUUAUUCAGUUUAAUCAACAAAGAUUCUAUCAUUUUUGUAUUUGCAAUUCAAAAUUGUUAUAUAAUAGAGAACAUAUAUAUGUUCUUCCUUUUCUCAUAGUUGUCUUCAAUUUUAAGAAAUAGUCGAACGGUCGAUUCAUUUUUUUUACUUCCAUGAAAAGAAAUUAAUGAUCAUUAUUGAAACUUAGAAUUCUACAAUGUGCAAUGGAAAAAGAUUAUAAGUCUACUUCGUAGAUUUGAAAUUCGAAUAAUUCUAAAAAAUUAUAUUUGAAAUGAAUAUUCGAAUAUUCAUUCUAAUAAUUCUAUAAAAUAAUAAAGUAAUUCUGUAAAAUAAUAAAGAAUAAAAAAAGAGAAAAAGUAUCAAAUAAUAAUAAUUGCAUGAGGUUAGAACAAAAAAACCAAGAAUUUCAAAUCAGAUAUCAUUUAACAUUAAAAAAAAGCUUUCCGGUCUAAUUAAAAUUUUCUUAUUUAGAAACUCAUGAAAUCAAAAUCAGAAAGUCGAUAUACUGCUAUAUUAUAUUAAUUCAUUAAGGUUUUGUUUUAUUUAUUUAGUGAUAGUCACUAUUUAUUUGAGCAAUAUUCUGUUCUAGAAUAUCAAAAAUAUGAUAAAUUAUAAAUAGAUAAGGAAAAAUAUGAAUAGAAUAGUUAAUUAAUACGAUCUAGUAGUUUAGUGAAUUUGUAUACACUAUUUUAGUUGAGCCCGCUUAGCUCAGAGGUUAGAGGAUCGCAUUUGUAAUGUGAUGGUCAUCGGUUCGAUUCCGAUAGCUGGCUUUUACAUAGUUUUUCAUUUUUUUACAUGAUUUUUAAUGUACUUUCAAAAAAAAAUAAGAUUGAAAAGACAUCUUUCAUCUUUUUCCAAGAGUUACCACGCCAUUUAUAUUAUGUUAUAUAAACUUCCAUAUAGGAAUAUAUAUUGGGGUAAAAGGGUUAGAUCUUGGCAAAAUAAAUGAAGAAAAUAAAGGAAAUUUUUUGUGAUUUAUUGAUUUAUAUAUAUUGUAUAUACAAUAAAAAAAAAUCUGUAUAUUGAGAGAAUAUAUCUUCUGACUCUUUGUAUUCAAAUAGUUUAUUGGAGUGGAUUUUACGUUAUUUAUCAUUAUCAUUUAGUUCAGUUUUUUUAAUUUUGUUUAGUUUUUGUACAAUUUCAAUAAAAAAAGGAGUCUUUAUGUCACGUUACCGAGGGCCUCGUUUUAAAAAAAUACGCCGUCUGGGGGCUUUACCGGGACUAACUAGUAAAAGGCCUAGGGCAGGAAGCGAUCUUAGAAACCAAUCACGCUCCGGAAAAAAAUCUCAAUAUCGUAUUCGUUUAGAAGAAAAACAAAAAUUGCGUUUUCAUUAUGGUCUUACAGAACGCCAAUUACUUAAAUAUGUUCGUAUCGCCGGAAAAGCCAAGGGGUCAACGGGUCAAGUUUUAUUACAAUUAUUUGAAAUGCGUUUGGAUAACAUCCUUUUUUGGUUGGGUAUGGCUUUGACUAUUCCUCAAGCACACCAAUUAGUUAACCAUGGGCAUAUUUUAGUUAAUGGUCGUAUAGUUGAUAUACCAAGUUAUCGAUGCAAACCCCUAGAUAUUAUUACAGUGAAGGAUGAAGAAAACUCUAGAACUUUGGUUCAAAAUCUUCUUGAGUCAUGCCCCCGAGGAGUUGCCAAACCAUCUGACUCUUCACACAUUCCAAUAUGAAGGGUUAGUCAAUCAAAUAAUAGAGAGGAAAUGCGUCUGUUUGAAAAUAAAUGAAUUGCUUGUCGUAGAAUAUUAUUCUCACCAAACUUAAAUAACCUAAGUAAAGUAAAAAAAAAAUCACUAAAAACAAGAGUUCGGACAACUCCCCUUUGCCCGCUUUUUUGAUUAAAACUAAAAAGGGACAAGGUAAGGAAUUUUGUCGGUGAAUCUUUUUCCUAUUCAUGUAUCAUCGAUUGGUAGGGAGGUUUGGAUUCCUUGUUUGCUCUUCCCAUCAUUUUCCAUAGCAAAGAAAUGUAGAUUUUAUAUCUAUUUUUUUUAUUUGAUUGAUACGUUGUGGUCAAUCACGUAAGAUUGGUUAUUUAGUUGAAACUACGGAAAGAGAGAGAUUCGAACCCUCGGUAAACAAAAGUCUACAUAACAGUUCCAAUAUUACGCCUUCAACCACUCGGCCAUCUCUCCGACAUCAGGAUUAUGACUGAGUACCUGGGUGAAUAGCGAGUUAUUCAUCGUACUAUACCUUUUUUGAUCGGAAAAAUUGGAAGUAGAUAGAAUAUUUUUUUAUAAAAAACGAGUCCGCUUUUAUGUUAAUUCGUACUAUAAAAUUCCUUUGUUUGUGAGAAAAUUUUCUCACAAGAGAAAAGUUAAAGGAAAUAAAAAGAGUUAUAGAAUGGAUUACUACCUAUGCCAAGAUCGCGUAUAAAUGAAAAUUUUAUUGAUAAAACCUUUACAAUUGUAGCUGAUAUCUUACUACGAGUCAUUCCGACAACUUCCAGAGAAAAAGAGGCAUUUACUUAAUGGUGCGAUUUGAUUAUCAUUAUCAUUUUUUUCUAUUUCUCACCGAUUUGGAAUAGAAAAAAAUGAGUAUUAAAAAAAAUUUACGCUUUUGAAGGUGAAGUUUAUAAUAUAAAAAAGCAAUCCCUUCUGUCAUGUAUCCACGAUUAGUGCAGCCUUAGAUGCUUCAAUUAUGAAUUCUAGUAUUGAGCAAAAGGUUUUUUUACCUACGAUUCCCGUAUUACAGAUCAAUCCUACUAGACUAAUAUAAUAUACGAAUAGGAGGCACAGGGGAAGAAGCACUAUGCCGAGAAAUCAACAACACGAAAACUUUCUUCAAAAAGAUUCCUUUUCUUUCUUCUUCUUUGGGAUUGGGACUAAUUAAAAUGGUUGGAACAAUAAACAUCCAUCUUGUCCGUACUUUGGAUACCCGUAUAAUUAUUGAAGACUGUUGAAGUGACUAAUUCCUGGAAAUUUAGGGGCGUUGAGAACAAAGAAAUUGUUAGAGUUUCCUUUUUUUAUUUUUAUCUAGUAUGAAUAUGAAUCCACUUGGUAGUAAGAACAGAUAUUUUACAAGAAUGUUGGCUAGGGAUUUCUUGUAAAAACGUUAGCCCCGCUUAGUUCAUAAUGACAUCAAAUUUUUCCAUAUCCAUAUAUUUAUUAUUUUCAUUAUGCACCUAAAGGAGGAGCUGUAUGAGAUGAAAAUCUCACAUACGGUUCUGAAACGGAGAAUUCGUUAAAGCGAAUGACGACCGUAAUGGAUGUCGGCUCAAUCUGAUGGAAAUUAUGCAGAAGCAUUACAGAAUUAUUAUGAAGCUAUGCGACUAGAAAUUGACCCCUAUGAUCGAAGUUAUAUACUCUAUAAUAUAGGCCUUAUCCACACAAGGAAUGGGGAAUAUACCAAAGCUUUAGAAUAUUAUUUUCGGGCAUUAGAACGAAACCCCUUUUUACCACAAGCUUUUAAUAAUAUGGUUGUGAUCUGUCAUUACGUGCGACUAUCUCCACUAUAGAAAAAAAGAACGAACAGCUAGUCAAUGAAAUACUAGAAAAAAAGGCUUUCUACAUAAGCAUCGUCCAAAACGAUUUUUUAUAAGCUGUAGCAAAUAAAUAAACUUCAUGGAUCGAAAUAUGAAGUGAAGACUAGAUAUGCCUAAAUACUUUAUUUCUAUGGAUAAAAAAAGAUUUAAUUGAUAGAGGAAGCACCGUAAAGAUCAACUGGAAAGGUUUUGGACCGAUACAAAAAGAGCUGUUUAUUUAUAUCAUAAUAUGAGAUAAAUCUUAGGAAUCUACUUAUGUAAUAGAGUGGAUCCCCUAAGGUAUUGAGCAACGGUGUAGCAUCAGAUCCUAAAGACAGUAAGUCUUUUUCUUUUUUAUGAAGUAUGAAAAAAGUCUUUUUCAACGAUUCUAUAUAAAUUUAUAUAUGAAAGCGGGAUAGUUACCUUUCAGAAAAUUCUAAUAUCUAAUAACAGUGGACAUGCCUUUUUUUCUGAAGGUAGGAGAAAACAUAAAACUUAUUAUUAGAUUAAUUAAUAUAUUAAUUAAUAUUAAUUAAUAAUAUAUUAAUUAAAUCAAAACGAAAGUUUGAAACUCAUGUAAUUACUCUCUUUUGUUUAAUCCAAGAAAAACCGAAUGAAUAUCUAUAAGAAAUCUCAUUCAAUUAGAUAUAAAGUUAAAGUAGGUUAAAGAGAAAAAAACUGGUACACCAAAACAAAAGAGUUGGUUGUGUGAGGUAGGAAACUCUCAAGUACGGUUCUCAGGGAGGGAAUUGACCCGCCUAUUCCGACUGUGGAGAACAGGCCAUUCAGCAAGGAGAUUCUGAAAUGGCGGAGGCUUGGUUUGCUCAAGCCGCCGAGUAUUGGAAACUGGCUAUAACGCUUACUCCUCGUAAUUAUAUUGAAGCACAUAAUUGGUUGACGAUCACGAGGCGCUUCGAAUAAGAACUUUUUCUUUGUUUCUUUUUUUUUAUUCUAUAAUAUAUCUUUAUUUGUUUUUACUAUUAAUUGUUUUUUAGUUUCUUGGCCCUCUCGGUCAAAUAAACCAUAUUCUUUUUUCUAUCAGAAUAACCAAUCCCAUAAAAUUUUUUUAUUAUAUCCUUUUCUCAAAUCGUUCUAUUUAAUCUGGUAUUCUCUAGGGAUAAGUAGUACAUGAAUAUGAGAAUAUCUAUAAUAUCUAUAUCUAGCAUUUUCUAUUUUUUUCUUUUCGACUAUUAAAACGAAUAAAAGAGAUUUAAAAAUGACUAAAUAUCAAUACUAGAAUGUUUCUUAAGAAUGACUAAUAAGCGGUUAUUGAAAUAGGAUAAUAUCCUCUAUUUAAAACAUAAAAAAUAGGCUAUAUUUCGGAACUUAUAAUUGAAAUAUGAAUACACUAGAUUAGGUUAUAAAAAAAAUUAUUUGUGUACCAAUACUAAUGUAAAGGUGCGAAAACGCUUUUUAAUAAAAAAAAAGGGGGGGGGGGGGGGUCCGUUGAGCACCCUAUGGAUAUGUCAUAAUAGAUCCGAACACUUGCCCCAGAUCGACUUCCAGAUCAUAAUUGCUCUAGUGAAUAACUAAAGAAAAUGGAUGAAUGGAUGGGAGAUAGAAGAGAACAAAAUUCUAAGCAUCUAUCAUCGGUUCACUAAUUAUUUGAGUGACUGUUGGCGGGUUUCUUUGUAUGUGUUGUCCGGAAAGAGGAGGACUCAAUGAUUAUUCGUUUGCCGGAACCAGAAGUCAAAAUUUUGGUAGAUAGGGAUCCCAUAAAAACUUCUUUCGAGGAAUGUGCUAAACCCGGUCAUUUGUCAAGAACAAUAGCUAAGGGACCUGAUACUACCACUUGGAUCUGGAACCUACAUGCUGAUGCUCACGAUU
rnacentral:lncRNA from 1 species